AUUUCACGUAGUUAAAAAAAAAAUCUUACCUACUUUUUGUACCUUUAUUCUUACCCAUUUAUAAUAUAAUUGUCUUAGAUAUUUCCUUGACAUGCAUUUAGAACUAUACCAAACUGUGCUGUUUAUGUUUCCAUAAUUAAACAUAAUUUAGAAAACUCCAGAAAAGGAAAGUCUAUUCUAUUUACCCAUAUUUGUAUGUACUAAAUUAUUUCUUCCUUUCUAAACUUACAAGAUUCCUUCUUUUGUCAUUUCCAGUCUGUUUAGACAACUUCCUUAGCCAUUCUGUCAGGUUAAGCCUUAUAGUUGAAAAUUAUUGUAGUUUUCUUUAACAAUGUUUUGCUUUCCCUUUCAUUUCUAAAGGAUAUUUUCUAUGGAUAUAAAACUCUGGGUUGAUAGUCUGGGUUGCUUUCAGCAAGUGAAAUGGUUGUGUUCUUUCCUUUUAUCCUUCAUGGUUUCUGAUGAGAAACCCACUAUCCGAAUCAUUUUUCCCCUAUAGGUAAGCCUAUGUUUUUCUCCUGCUCCUUUCAAGAUUUUUUCUUUGUUUUAGUUUUUAUAAGUUUGAUUGUGAUACGCUUUGGUAUAAAUUUUUUUGGUUAUAUUCUGUUUGUGGUUUGCUCAGCUUCUUGAUUGUAUCUUCUUUGCUAUACUUUGGAAGUUUCCAGCCACUAUAGCCACUAUUUCUUUGAGGAUAUUUUAAGCACUGCCCUUUUCCUCCUCUCUUUCUGGGUUGCUAAUGACACAGAUACAAAUGUUUUAUUUUUUGUUACAGUUUCACAGUUUCCCAAGUCUCCAUUUUUAAGUAUAGUUUAUUUAUGUUGUUCAAAUUAAGUUAUUUCCAUUCUCUCUUCGAGUUUACGGAUUCUUUCUUCUGCCUUUUCCACUCUGCUGUCAAGUACAUCCUUUUAGUUUUUAAUAAUUUCAAUUAUUUUAUUUUUCAGUUAUAAAAUUUUGAUCUGAUUAUUCUUUGUAUCUUCUAUUUCUUUGUCACAACUUUAACCUUUUUUAUUUGUUUCAACCAUGUUUAUAAUUGUUCCUUGAGGUGUUUUCAUGAUGGCUGCUUUAAAAUCUUUGUGAGAUAAUUCUAACACCUCUGUCAUCUUGAUGUUCACAUGUAUCAACAGUCUUGUAAACAUUCAGUUUAUGAUCUCCCUUCUGCUUUGUGUGACAAAUGAUAUUCAGUUGAAACCUGGACAUUUUAGGUAUUAUGGUUCUUAUUUAAACCUUCUGUUUUACCUGGCUGCUUCUUCCACCACUCCAGCUGGGAAAAGUCAGGGGUGGGGGGUGCCAACUUGUUACUGCCAGAUAUGGAUAGAAGUAUCUCAUGCUCCUCAGUAAACCUCCACUGGUCUCUGCUACCAAACUGACCUCCCCUGAUAUCUUCCAGGCUAGGAAAAAAUGAGUAGUUCGUUGAUACUUUAUUGUGCUCUUCACCAGUGCUUUAGAAGUUGAGGGAUAGCAGGGUAGCUUUGUUACAGCUGGACAGUUUUAAAUGUUCUGAAUCUCUACCAAGCCUCCUCUGAUACUGCCUCAGUGGAGAGGGAGAUGGAUGCAUCAUUAUUGUUGAGUUUGGUGUGGAAAUGCAGACUGUUCAUUUAGUCAACAUAGACACUGCAUGUUGGGUAAGAGAAGAAUCUUGCUAACCCUCAACAGGGAUGAAACCCCUAGAUUCCUGCUCAGACUUUUUUUAUAGUACUUUGGGUCCUGGACAGAGAGGGUGUUGAAGUAUUCUGGCAAGGGUCAGUGUCUGUGUUUUCUGCUUUGUCUUUGCAGGUGUGCAUGGGGAUGGGACCAGAAUUCUUUCUCUGCUGUUCAACUAGAGCAAAAUGGUAUUGCGUUCUGUCUUUCUAGGCUGUCUCUUUCUUGUUCCUUUGACUAGAGAGAACAGGCUUUUGUUGGAACUUUGUUUUUUGUUUGUUUGUUUUGUUUUGUUCGCACCAGUUGGUAUUUCUAGGUUGCAGGCUUCUUCAGCUCUGAAGUUUUGAUGUAUAACAUAAAAAUUAAAAAUCCAUAUUAUUCCUUGAGUCCUUCAGUCUCUAGCUAGUUUUUCAUCUUCUCUAAGCUUUUCAGAAUGUCCUUAAAUUUGUUUGAUAUGUAAUGUGCCAGGAUUUUAGUUGUACCUAGCAGGGGGAUUAAGAAAAACUAUUUUCUCCAUCUUUCUAGAAGUGAAAGUCUAUUACUUUGUUUCUUUUUAAAAAUUGUUUUGGGCUAGGCACAGUGGCCUGUAAUCCCAGCACUUGGUUGAGGCGGGUGGAUCACCUGAGGUCAGGAGGUCAAGACCAGUCUGAUCAAUGUGGAGAAACCCCGUCUCUACUAAAAAUGCAAAAUUAAUUAGCCAGGCGUGGUGGUGCAUGCCUAUAAUCCCAGCUACUUGGGAGACUGAGGCAGGGAGAAUCACUUGAACCAAGGAGGCGGAAGUUGUCGUGAGCCGAGAUCACACCACUGCACUCCAACCUGGGCAACAAGAGCAAAAUUCCAUCUGUGGAAAAAAAAAAUUGUUUUUAAUUGGGAAUGUGGCAUGUCAUUUUCACAUUAGAUUCUCUCAGAAAAUUCAACAGAAUUAUACAAAAUAAUUUAAUAAUGUAAUAUUAAAAAGGAAACCUUCAGACAGAGAAAACAUCUCUAUCUGUAAUUUAUUUUUAAUAUCCAUUUUACUUCCAUUUUCCAAUUUCUGUCAUCAGUUUGUUUCUUGACAAGUUUGUCUCUUUUAGGACCUGUAACAUAUCUGUUAAGUAGUGAGCUUUUCUCACUUAAAAGUACUUACUGAAUGACUUCCACUUGCGAGUCAUGUCAGUUUCCUUCAUUGUGGUUCCCCUGUGCCUAUCAGAAGGCCUGACACAUACUAGUACUUCAUAAAUAAUCUGCUGCACAAGUGAAUGAGAAUUGGAAACUUAAAAUUUUAUUUCAAUGAAUGGGUCAUCUACUUUCUUGUUUUGCUGAAGCAUGGGACUUAAGUCCCUACCAAACACUCUUUACACAUAUGCUUAGGACACUAGCAGAUUUGUCCAGAAUUUUGCAAUCUAGAAAAAAAGCAAUUUUAAUUUUAGCAAGUGUGAAAAUUUUUUGUUUUAUUGUUUAGAAUUGCAUUAUUUUGAAUUACAGUUGGGAAGGAGAACAUGAUGGUUCUCAUGUGUGUGUGUGUGUGUGUAUGUGUGUGCGCGUGUGCACGCACGCACACAUUCACUCCUAUAAUUGCUAAAGAAAGUCACCUGAAGGGCAUGGCACAAAAACAAUCACAAAUCAUUUUUAGGUUAUGUUUCCUAGAUGGCUGAAUCUUUUUCCUUUUUUCAGAUUUGUUUUUAUUAGACAAGUCACAGUUUGAAUAUCUUUGAAAGUCAUUGUUAUGUAUUGUGCAGUGUAUAUGUUUAUAUGUGGAAGAGGGGCAAUAUUAAUUCCUGUUGGGAAAUUUGUGCAAACAUAAUCAUAUGUUAGAUUCUCCAAUUAUUGGAACAUUUAAAAAAAUAAAGUCAAAGGACAUGGUUCUUUUUAGUGCUACUCAGUAUAUUUGGUUUCAUAAUCAUGCUUGUUUUCCUGCCUGGCUUUAAAUUCUGCUUAAGGAAAUUGUGAAAAAUUUAAUUCACUCUACUUUUAUUAUAAGAAAUAGAAAUGUUCAUACAUGGGAACUUUCAUUGCCUGCUAGAAUGGAAAUUCACUGAGGAGGGGGGAACCAUUUCAUUUUACUACCUAAGAGCUGUUGAUACAGUCCCUGCAUCUUUCAAAGGCAUCUUUCAUGCCACACCGGCAAACUGUAGUCAGCGAAGAAACAGAAAGAGCCCUUCUCACAUAUGUCAAUCUCAGAAAACUUGUACAGCAGCUGUGCUAGGUACUGAUGAGGAUGACUAUAGGACCCAGUUGCAGGGUUUUGUGUGGAUAAAGAGACAACUGGCUUUCUCAGAGGACCACUUUGUUGGAGAUUGUAGCAAUAAUGCAUCCCCACUGUUGCUAGAAGACAUUGUGACCAUGUACUACAAAAUCAGUGCCAGAUAAAAUCAGAAAGUAACAAAAAGCAAGAAGAAAACUCGGAGUCUUUUUAAAUCUUAAAGUGAGAGACGAAAACAAAUGUUCUGGGCUUGUUUCAUUCAAUUGUAAGGAAAAGGAGACAGAUGAAGGGAUGCCUUUAACUCAGAAAACUUGCCCAGCUCUCAGUCUUUUCAUUUGAGAACCAUUUGGGUGUGUUGGGAAAAAAGUUGCAGAGUAGGCAUGUUCAAACAUUUAUUUGCUACAUUUGGUAGGGAAGAUUUCCUCCCCCCGCCCCCCCCUUAACUACAGGAAGCCAGAGUUUUCUGUGCAAACGAAACAGGCAUUGCAAGAAUCAGAUUCACUUUGGACGACUCUUCACAUUCCAAGUCAUCAUUGCGUUAGGCAGCACAAUUCCAUCUCUGGUUGAUGGGCAGAAAAAGUGGGCAGCUUGCCAGGUAGACGUUUCCAUGACUCCCAGCCCCCAAAGGUGAUGCGUUUUUCAGCUAAUUCAAUGAAGAGUGGGCUGAACUUUGGGUCUAAACGAGACAAUAGCUGCCUUCGCAGUAUCAGCAGAAUGGUUGAUGGGAAUGCACUCUACAUUUGGCAGAGAAUCAUGUGACCUUACGGCAGAGAUUUUGUGAUGGUGCCAACGGAGACUUGGAAAGCAGCAACCGUCCUGACUUUUUUCUUCUUUUCUAACAUGGCUCAGAAAAUGGUGGAUCUUAAUACUUGACUUUAGCCAGACUCAGCAAGCGACUGAGCUUUGAAGCACAACUUCGUCUUUAUUCUGGGUUUUUGGCAGGCCACCAGGAGGCUGUCCCUUUCACGCCUGAUAAAUUCUGCUGCUUAUCUCUAAAUAGAAAAAAAAAAAGGAAAAUAAUAACAGAAUAUUGAGGCAUAACAAGUGAAUUCUAAAAUUGUAUGUACUUUAUGUUUUUUUGCCUUUGACUGCUAAUUUUUUUCUUUUCUUUUUUUUUUUUUUAAGUGUUAAUUUAAUACCCUUUCUGCUUGUAGAAGAAUCCAAGUAGUUGGGUUUUUUUUUUGUUUUUUUUUUUUUUUGGUUUAUAAUGAAACAGGCAUUUGAACUGGGCAAACAGGACGACAGCAGCAGUGAGCAUGAGAUCAUUGCAUUGCAGCAGUGUAGCAAACUGGCACCCUGCCUUUGCACCCUUUGGUUCAGGAGACAAACGUGUGCAAUCCUCAUUUCUAAAGUCAGCACAGCCUGGAAGGAUUCCUGGUCUCUCCCACCUUCUACCAUUCUGCUGCCAGUGACGGCAAGGAUUGGUGCAGCUUCUGCGCAGUGCUUUGUGCCUGGAAUACCGAGAAGGAGGAAAAAGAAGACAAGCACCCUGGUCCUUAAGAAAUUACAGGCGCCCUUGAAGAAAAAAAUCUGAGUUUGUCCUACUACAUGCAAGAGUGCUGGAAAAAAAAAAAAAAAAAGACGCUCCUGCUCAAAAACAAAAACAAAAACAAACAAAAAUCCAAACCAAAACAAACCAAAAAAAAGCAAACAUUGACUGUAACUACAGAGACAUCGGGCUUUGUAAAGCAGCUUUUUAAGGCAAUAUAUCCAAAUGAGCCUUCUUUAUUUUUAUUAUUUCAAACAAUAUGGCAUAAUUAACAAUAUAUUGCACUUGGUGAAAUCGUACCUUUCAAAUCAGGGAAAAAACUUAAAAUGGAUAUGAAAAGUGAAGAAAGUGAUCAUAGGAGAAAACCAUUUCAGGUAAAAAUUAAAAACAGAGCAAUUAAUAUUUAAUAUUUUAAAGAAAAACCACAUUAUUUUGAUGGUGUUUGUUGUAAGAAUUCAUUUCAUAUUCUUUAUGAGUCUGGCCGUUGAAUUUUUUUGACUGUUUUCAUUUGAAAAUGUGUAAUGUGACCUGCCUCUGUGAAAAAUUUCUUGUGGGCAGUUCACAUCCCAUUGAAUAUAUGUCUGUAUAUCCAUACGCUUAAGAUAGGUGCAAUAUGGUUUACUAGAAAGCUAUUUAAGAAAAGAAAAAAUUAUAUUUUCUUAUUUGUUGUACCAUAUAAAAAGAAGUGAAAUCAGGAGGAGGGGAAUAAGGUCAUGCUUUUUAAUCUUUUUUACGUGACCUGAAAAGACAAUGAAAUCAAAAUAUGCAUUCUUAUAGUUAUGAUAAAACGAAACCCAAUGCUGCCUUUUAUUUCACAUUUGCAUUUAUAAAUAUAUGUUGAAAUAUUUUUUACUACAAUUGAAUGUAUGAUUGUUGAUUAUUUACUAUAGUUUUUAGUAAUUAUAAGGACAAUUUAAGAAUAAAUAAUGGUUAAAAAUUAUGUAGAACACAGUAGCUAUAUAAAGUCUAUAAAACAUAUUUUAUUUAUUUCAAAAUAUGCAAAAUCACUAAGUAAUUAGUAUGUAGUAUUAUUUUACACAAUAAAGAUAUAAUUAGGAAAUGCUAAAUGAUUAUAGAUGUAAGUGAAAUGAUUAAUGAUUGUACAACUUAUAAUUUUGUUGCAGUUGAGUUUAGAAUCUUUAAAAAAAGUGCAUGUGGCUGGCUUUAUGUUUACUUGUUCCUGUGUUUGCUUGUUGUCUGGUGGUUUAAAAAAAAUUUUCGUUACAUUUUAUUUUUGCCCAACCUGUUGACCAGAUGAGAGUUGUAUGUAGCUAUGUAUUUUAAGUGUAUCUAUUUCGAACAAUAAAUUUAAAUAUGUAGGAAAUACAUAUUCUUAUUUAGGAAAUACAUAUUCUUAUUUAGGAAAGAAGGCAUGUUAUGACAUGUAAUAUAUCUGGAGUAUAGAUGUUAGUGUGGAGUAUUAGUAAUGAUGCCAUUAUUGUGCCAUUUAUUUUAGUUUUGUAUUAACUCAUCCAAAUAUUGUAAAUUUUAGCACCAUUCCAACUAUAGACGUGGAUGUAUAUAUUUAAGGCUGAUAAUAACUUCCUGUGUUCCUCUACCUAGUAAACAAGAUCUUACUUAUUUUAUGAGAAAGUUAUAAUGUUACCAAUUCAUUGAAACCACUAACUAAACUACUUUUAUAAAAAUUAAAAUAAGCACAGUCUAAUUCAUACACAAUUCACUUAAUAGUUAAUUUGGUUUUAAUUAUAGGCUCAUAAUACCACAUUCAUGCCUCACAAUUACAUAAUUCAUACAUGCACGUAUGGAUUCUUUUUUUCUUUUAAAACUCAUCAUGAAUUAGGGUAGUUUAAUUCCAAAAUAUUUACCAUUGAAACAAAAGCAGCUCAUGAAAAAUUUUUCAACAGACUAGUUUUUAAAUUCUCAUGCAUAUAAAUUUGUGCUAAGUUUCAAAUAUUUAUGAAGGCCUUUCAUGGAGAAUAUGCAUCCUUAGGAUUCAGCAUUUAAAACAUUUGCACUAAGGGAUCAAUAUUAUUUUCAUCUCUUAAUUGCAUCAGAUAUUUACAACAAAUUAUAUAUUAAUAGGGAGCCCAUGCAAGAUGUUGCCCAUUGGCAUAAACCCGUAGAUCCGAUCUUGUGGUGAAGUGGACCGCACAAGCUCGCUUCUAUGGGUCUGUGUCAGUGUGGUAAUCUGACAAAAUGCUAUACACAAUGCCGUUCAAUCAGUUCCGUAAGAUCCUGUUAAACUCCAGUUGAUUAUAUACUUCUGAAGUAAUUAUAUUUUCCUUUGUUUUUCAUGUAUAUUUUAAUCGUCAUCUGUCUUACAAGGCAGGCUUCAAUUCUCAACAACUUGGAAACGUUUAUAGCACAGCCAUUCAAGUUUGAUUCCAUGUGCAGUAAAUUGCAUAAUAAAGUUGAAUCUUUAUAGCAAGGUUUGGACCACGAUCUGAAUAGAUCCUGUUCAGAAACUUCAGUGCGUACUGUAGUGUUAGUGUACCUCUUCAACUUCAGUAAGAAAAUUAAAGACUACCACUGGAUUUAUAUGUUUUUAUUGAGCCUAUUUUUCAUGAAAAAAAGGAGGCUGAAUGCAAUUGAUUUUUAAUAUUAAUUGCUAGUAGAACUAUGGCAAGAGAGAUAUGAAAAGACAUUUUAUGUGACCUAUGCUGAAAAGCCACAUGUUUAGGUUAAUCCUGUGAGAAACAGUUAAAGUUUACUGGUAAAAUGUUAGAAUAUUAUAUCUACAUCCUUGCCAAGCUCUUAGGUAUAUGGCUGCCAUAUUUGGAGGAGCUGACUGAAGAUAUGAUAAGGAGUUUGAAGCAACAUUGGAAGCUGUGUGCAUCCGGGUUGAGGUAGUAGGUUGUAUGGUUUAGAGUUACACCCUGGGAGUUAACUGUACAACCUUCUAGCUUUCCUUGGAGCACACUUGAGCCAUCGAGGAAUUCUUCAUCACUUUAAUCUGAUUGAGCCAAGUUCUGUGCAAGAAGGUAAUGUGUCAUGAGUAUCUUAGAUCACUGACUUGAGCCUUUAUUAACAUUAAAAUGAUCAUUUCAGCCCUUUUAGAUUAUUCCAUUUGCAUCUGCUUAUGAACAAUGGGAAAUGGUAUUUCUAAUGGGUUGUCACUCCAUGUUCAAACAUUUUAAGAAAAUUGUGGGUAGUGACUUAAACUACAUUAAUAUUAAAGCUUUUUAUCAUCUAUAGAUUAAAAUUCAGCCCUUAAUUUUCAAAUUGAUCAUGGGUCUAUUUAUAUUGACUGCUUAGACACUAUAAGAAAAAAUGUCUGCUAGAGUUAAUAGCUCCCGUAGCACAUUAUUUGAGUUUUGUUAUGACACAUCACUUUCUACCUUAUGUUAUGGCUAUUUAUGUGCUUGCUUAUUUUUUCCAUACUAGACUGUAAGCCCCUUGAGGGCAAAGUCCAUGCUUUAUUUUUCAUUGUAUCCCCUGCAAUGCCUUACUCAUCAUAAGCACUAAAUAUUUAUUGGAUAAAUGAAUGGAGUGUAAGACCUCACUCUGUGAUGAGUUUCUAUUGAAUAUUUGAAUGAAUUAUGGCAAUGGUCAAACAUCCGAGUUUUAUUUAUUGCUCCUAAAAUUGUUUAAAUUUAAUUACUGGACUGCUCCACAUCAGUAAUAUAUGUGACAAUUUUUGACUUUUGAAUGUGUCCAUUCAUCCUAAUCAGAUAAUUUAAUAUUAAGAAGUACUUACUACCUAGAAUUAAAAAAGAGCAAAUUCAUUUUUACUAAUUAGUUCAUGAUAGUUUAUGAUCUUAAAUUUAGAUAAUUUAUAUUUCUGUUGAAUUUUAAAUACCUGUUUCUAGAUGAAUUGUUUUUCUUUUAGCAUUGAUUUUAGCUAAAUAUUCUAAGUCUUAUUUAACAAUAUAAUUUUUUUAAAUUAGAUUUUCGUGUUUUGUAUAUUUCCCUCAUCUCCUGCCCUUUAUUUUUGUACAGCUAUGUCUGUUGAAUAAAUGAGAAGCAACUAAACUAGAAACAUGUCAAGGAAUUAAUAAUAAAUAUGUAUAUAAAGUAUAAUUUGGGGAUAUGAACACAUUUUUGUUUAAAGGAAAGGCAACUUAUAAUAUUCUUUAUGUUACAAAGUAAAUGUGACUCUUUGGAAUCUUAGUUUGCUGUCAACUUGAGUAGCACUUAGUGGUAUAAUUUUUGUAGUGAUGCUAUCUUACAUAGAUCAUCUUUCAAACACAGGAUUAAGUAGUCGUUGAUGUUAGAACUUUAAAACUCCAAGUAUGAAACAUGGAAUACAUUAAAAAGAUGUUUAGGUGCAAAUAUAUAUAAUGAAUCUUAAAAUACUGGCUAUGUGGUGAUGGCCUUUCUAGAAUACUCAGGCAUCCAAAAUAUCUUAUUACCUAGAAUUUGCUAACAAUGUAGUGAAGAAGGAACGUCUUCCCCCCAACAUGUAGAAAAUGUGAGCCUUAGAAAGUGAAUACCAGGCCGGGCGCGGUGGCUCAAGCCUGUAAUCCCAGCACUUUGGAAGGCCAAGGCGGGUGGAUCACGAGGUCAAGAGAUCGAGACCAUCUUGGUUAACAUGGUGAAACUCCGUCUCUACUAAAAAUACAAAAAAUUAGCUGGGCAUGGUGGUGCGUGCCUGUAAUCCCAGCUACUCAGGAGGCUGAGGCAGGAGAAUUGCCUGAACCCAGGAGGCGGAGAUUGUGGUGAGCCAAGAUCGCGCCAUUGCACUCCAGCCUGGGUAACAAGAGCGAAACUCCGUCUCAAAAAAAAGAAAAAAAGAAAGUGAAUACCAAUCACUUCAACCAAAGACUAUUCCUCUUUGUGAAGGACUAAUGAAGAAGCAAUGGAUAAGAGGCAGUAGACAUAACACAAACAAAAAGACAUGAAGAGAUGAAAAGGAACGUGACCCAUAGCAAAGAGAAACACCACUAUGUCUAAUGAUGGCAGUUCAACCCACAGGUGAAAGAAAGGGACAACUAAAUGGGUAAACAAUUACAUCUUUAUAAAUAGCUUUUUCCUUGAGAACCUAGGAUCCCUUUCCUAUGUAUUUCUAUGUAUGUGUGUCUCCCCAUGCUAGGUGCAUUUAUUUAGAAGCCAAAUCUACUGAUGGGUCAAAAAGAAUAUGAUUGCCAAUAAAUGUCCAUUUUCUUACAGUGUAAUGGAGUUAAGUGCCUCACAAAGGUCAAGUAAGAUAUGCAGUUUAAGGAUAAUCUUAUAAAAGUACUAUAAUGAAUUGUUAGAAUUACCAUCUCUUUUAAAUACUAUCAUCUAAGGUGAAGGAGUAUAACUGAAGAAUAACUGAAGAAUGAUGAGGGUGUAGCUAUGAUUUAUUAUGUUAGUCAUGCAGAAAUCAUAAGAAGAAAUCUGACUGGGCGUGGUGGCUCACACCUAUAAUUCUAGCACUUUGGGAGGCUGAGGCAGGUGAAUCACUGGAGUUCAGGGGUUCAAGACCAGUCUGACCAACAUGAUGAAACCCCAUCUCCACUAAAAAUACAAAAUUAGCAGGGUGUGGUGGUGCACACCUGUAAUCUCAGCUACUUGGGAGGCUAGGAUAGGUGAAUCACUUGAACUCGGGAGGCGGAGGUUGCAGCGAGCUGAGAUCAUGCCAUUGCACUCCAGCCUGGGUGACCGAGUGAGACUCCAUUCUCGAAAACACAAAACAAAACAAAAACAGAAAAAUCUGUAAGGUGGAGGAUGUAGUUAGUACCAAUGAAUCAAAUAUUAAAACUUCUCUGAGAACAAUACAUGGAAGAGUUGUAUGUUUGCCUUGGAUUCAUAAUAAAUUUUGCUACUCCAGUUAUGAGGGAUAUGUAACUUGCUACAUAUUUACAAACAAUGGGCAAAUGUUAAAUACACAAAUUGAUAGGAUUUUUGUUUGGUUUGGUUUGGUUUAAGAUGGAGUCUCGCUCUGUCACCCAGGCUGGAGUGCUGUGGUGUGAUCUCAGCUCGCUGCAACCUCCACUUCCCUGGUUCAUGAAAUUCCCCUGCCUCAGCCUUCUGAGCAGCUGGGAUUACAGGCACCCGCCACCACGCCUGGAUAAUUUUUUUGUAUUUUUAGUAGAGACGGGGUUUCACUGUGUUGGCCAGGCUGGUCUCGAACUCCUGACCUCAGGCAGUUUGCCUGAGUGCUAGGAUUAUAGGCAUGAGCCACCGUGCCCAGCACAAAUUGAUAGGAUUUUUAAAGAAACCACAUAUAGGACUGCUGCCAAUGUCAAUAAUUAAAAAUAAUUAAAUUAUGUCUAAGAAAUCAAAGGGAAAGAUUGUUCAUAUAGAGGGCUUACGUUCAGCUAUGGGAAACAACUACCCACACUGAAUAAUUUCCUUAAGAAUUAUAAGUGGUCUCAGGUUUAACUGUAGACUGUAGACUGAGGUUUUCACAUCUGGUAACAGAGUAUGGCAAUUCAGGAAAUUAUUAAAUAAUCAGUGUAUUGUAAUUCAUUUAUCCAAUAUUCCUUUUGAUAUUUUGAGGCACAAAGUUGGAUGUAUCUUUAUGUUCAUACUGGUUGAUUUACCUCAAAUGCUUUGUGGGAUGAAGCAGGAAGGAGUUUUAGAGUGGGAAGGGAAGGAGAGAGAGGAGGAAGGAAGAAAAGUGAAACCAAGUACAAAGCAAUAAAUUGAGCCUUAACAGAAAAGUAAAACCAAGUGCAAAGCAAUAAAUUGAGCCUUACCAGAAAAGUCCGAUAUUAGUUUAUAAGAACUAAUGAGAGAAAAUAACUGUGAGAGAAUCAGAUGAAUUACUUGGCACUUGGACUGAGUCUUUUUGAAAACAAUCCAACAGUCCAUGAACUAUGUUAUUAGAAUAAAUAAGUGACUUUCUAUAAAUAAUAAUUUAGAUUCUCUUAUUCCCUUUUAUCAAAUGCUGACUAAUGAGCACAGGUGAUUCCUCAAGAUUACUCAAAUGAUCUGAUCCAGGAUUCCUUCAUCCUGAGCAUUAUUUCACACCUGUGGCUAGUUUCUCUGCUACAGAGUAGACAGAUAACUUCUGAGGUAACUGAUCUUGACUCUACCUAUGCUUCACCUCUAAAACCCUUUGAGAAUGCUUGUGAAAGAUGUACCAGGAGAAUACUUUAUUCUUGCUUUAAUUCCUACUGCUCAAGCAAAACUAGUACCUGUUAUUAACAUGCCUUUUAACUUGAUAAUAUCAUGUUCGUCUACAAAUCCUUAACUGAUUCUCUAAGAUAGAAUUGCCCAGCUUUGAAUCCUCAAGACCCUUGCCACUUUGAUUCCCACGGGGAUUUCUCUGACUUCUGUUAGUAGUAAUUACAAGUGUCCAAAGGGACUAUGACUUGCCUUGGUACCUCUUAUAAUAUACAUGCUUUACUUUUUUAACUGUAGAUAUAUUGAAUCAGUGCCUUUCAUCUUGAGUUGAACUUUAGAUCAUUUACGGGCAAGGAUGAGAACCUCUACACCCUUUACAAUAAACUUUGCUUCAGCAGUAAGGUCCUGUGUUACCCAAGAUAUUUCUAGACUCUCUGGAAUAUAUUAUUAUGGUAUUAGGAGUUGCUAAUGGUGUCUAGGUCUGCAGGCCACUCUUGAUUAAGCAUGUGAUAUACCAUUUGAAAUGAUUUAGGACACUAGCUAAUCACUAUAAUUUGUAAUAAUUCUAAGCCCCUUUAUGUAAGAAAUGCAUGUCCCUUUCAAACUCACAGCUCCUACCCUAAUGUUUAGCUUAUAGGAUUGAUUCAAGAACUUUUUUGGUGAAUGAGCAAAUAUUUUUUAAACAAAAUGAAAACUGUGAUAGAAUGGAGCAAUUCUAUAUUUAAGUAGACUUCUUCAAACUUUUAAAGUUUAGAAUUUGAAAGAAAUUAGAAAUAUCACUUUUUGGGUGAACUCUGUUUGAUGAUAAUUCUUAAUCUUUUAAAAUUGGCAUUGUCUUAUGUGUCCCUUAAUUUUUAACUGUAUUCUGUGCUAUGUGAAGGUGUGAAUUAAAUCAUAUUUCUCUCCUACAUCCAAUAUCUCUUAAAUCCCAAUUUUGUUUCUCUUCAUCUGAACUCUUAGAGUACUUAUUUGACUCCAAUCAUAUUCAGCCUGAAUUUCUUGUUAACUUUUUAUAUGUUCAUAUGGCAUAUAAGAAGGUAAAUCAUAAGCUGGAUAAUUUGUGUGAAUUUUUACACAAUAGGCACUUAACGAAUAGUGCUUUAUUGAAAUUAAAAAUAAAACUGAGAUUUAUUAAUGGAAAAAAAAUUGAGAUAAAUGGCCCAUUUUGCAGAUGACCAAACUGACACCCAGUUUCUUUAAUGACUCUGUCAGGGUCAAGCUACUAGUUAUGGACAUAGCCCAGAAUUCAAUCCAAUUCGGAGAUCUAUCCAAGAAGAAAUAUUUUAGUAUGGUUGUCAUUAGAUUUUUAGUUAGUACUCAAUUUUAAUGUGUCAUUAAACAAAUUUUUAAUAAAUGAAUCAAUUGAAAUUGGAAAAUAGACUUUUGGUUCCAAAAGGCUACAAAUAACAUAGUAAUUUAGCGUCAAGCUCAAAUAUGAUAGACAUAUAAUUAAAAUGAUUGAAAAUAAACUCAUCCCUCCAAUUAUUUUUUUCCAAGUACAAUUGCACUCUCAUCCUUCUAGGCACAGAGAGCAAGUUAUCUACCCCAGUUUCAUUCAGGUAUUUCUCCUUCUAGAACACUUCUAGGACACUUCUCCAAGGGAGGAGAGUAUGGCCUAGCAGUUGGUGGUGUAUCUUAAGCAAAAAGAAAAAAAAACACUAGAUAUUGUUCAAUCUGUUAGCAGUGUGUUGCUUAGAAAAAUGAACGUUAAUGUUAAAUGGUAACUGUAACUAAAUCUAACUUGAAGGUUCAGUUGUUCAUGCGCUUCAUGAUAUACACAAGGUAUUAUGUAAGGUGUUUUCACAGGGAUCAUAAACUUAAAUAACCUCUGGGUCCAGGUGGUAUAAGCCAGACUUUAAGACAAAAGGAAGUAACAAGGACUGUGGUAGACCAAAGAAGACGUAUUUACCUUUAAGAUAUUUCAAAAUAGGCCCGGUGCCAUGGCUCACGCCUGUAAUCCCAGCACUUUUGGAGGCCAAGGUGGGCACAUCAUCUGAGGUCAGGAGUUUAAGAUCAGCCUGACCAAAUGGUGAAAUCCCAUCUCUACCAAAGAUACAAAAAAAAUAGCCAGGCGUGGUGGUAGGUAUCUGUAAUCCCAGCUACUCCGGAGGCUAAGGCAGGAGAAUUGCUUAAACCAGGAGGCAGAGGUUGCAGUGAGCUAAGAUUGCACCACUACACAGCCUGGGCCACAGAGCGAGACUCUGUCUCAAAAGAAAAAAGAAAAAAAAGAUAUUUCAAAAUAACUCUCAUUAGUCAAUAUGAAUUUGGAUCCCAAGGGGAACCAGUUUUCCCUUUCUGAUAUGAAAGUAUCAGAUAAUAAAGCAAAAUUUCAAAAAACUUGUUAUUUUGAUAAAGCUAACAUCAUCUUUUUUAAAGUUCAUUUAAAAAACUUCUAUGCUGCUGUUGUUAUUUCAGAUAGAUAUGUAUGGUUCAUGACAGUCUACAUAGUUUCUUAUAUUUAACUAAUGAAAAAUAUUCAUUGGUCAAGCAAUUAGCAACUGUGAUAUCGUUUUGAUGUCAUUUUAACAAAAGAAGUAUACUAGUAGUGGUAGUAAUUGUAAUAUUGUUAAUAAGAGUACAUAAUUUUAGGUUUGUAUUUACAUAUAAACCUCAAUGUACAAAAAAUGAAAUUCUUGUAAUUCUUAUGCUCCAGUAAUUAGUGCUAUAGAUGGAUAAAUAUAUAACAUUGUCAAGUCAGAAAAAUCAAAAUGUUAAAAAGAAUGACCACUAAAUUCAAGUAUUCUCAUCUCUAUGUAAAUUCUUACAUUCAGGCAACUGAGUUCAAAAGUAAAGAAACAUUGGUAUUGUUAAUUAUAUUUUAUUAGGUUAUAUAAUUAAAAGACCAAUUAUACAUCAAUAUGAAAUUAGAUCAGAUUCCUGUCCAUAAAUUUUCAAUAUAAUUUAAUCCAAUGAAUCUAAAUGUGGAAGAGAAAUGACAAAACCACUUAUGAAAACACAAAGUUUCUCUAGUAAAACAAAAUGUAUUGGCAAUUUUGUUGUCUGUUGUAGAAGCCUUCUAUUUAAUAUAAAUGGGAUCAAUAGUCAAUCAGCUAAUACACCCAGAUUUUAAAAUAAAUUAAUCUUAAAAAUGAAUACAUACAACCUACAUUUUACUUGAUUAUGUAUUCAUUUGCCAAUAAUUUUAUGUAAACAGAACUUUUUUUGGUUUAGAUUAUUGAUUACAAAUUAUAGUCAUCCUCCCUUUCAGUAAAUCCUAUAAUGCAUCAUCUAUGAUUUCUAAUUUUUGGUGUCUUCAUGAACAUCUUUAAGUUCAAAUCCAAUGCUAAGAAAUCUAAGAGCAGAAUUCUACUUUCUCUCAUUUUUUCUAAGCUUCUGAAAUUGUCUUUCCUAUAUGUUAUUCUAUAGCAUUAUACGUUUUGCUAAGUGACUGAAAUUUAUUAAUUCUUUCUUCAAUAUUCAACUUGGAGGUAUAGAACAUUUCUCAAUUUUUUACAAUUAUAUUUCAAUUUGGUUAUGUGAUAUUUAAUUAAAAGAUGUAAUUUAAUAUAUGCAAAACUGGCAUACACUGGUUUGGGAGCAAACAUAAUGAAUUCCAGGGAAGCAUAUAAAUCACUUGGUGGAAGCAGACGUAUUCUUGGGUGUUCUAGAAAUCUUGAUGGUGCUGGAAAUGUUCUCUCUGCACUGUCAAAACAGUAGCCACUGGUCACAUAAAGCUAUUGAGCACUCGGAGUAUGUCUAGUGUGACUGAAAAAAUGAAUUUUACAUCUUAGUUAAUUUUAGUCCACUCAAAUUUAAAUAGCUACAUGAGAUUUGUAGCUAAGGUAGUAGGCUGUGCAGUUCUAGAGAGUAGCUCACUUGCAUUUAGUGUUUGCUGCUGUGGCAUCUGUUAAAAAUAUCAGAUAAUCUGUGAAGUGGCUAAUGGUUAAGAAUACUACCCUAGUUGAAUUAAGAUAGACUUAGGAAAUGCGGGUUGAUUUGGAAUGUGUUUGUUUUGCUCUGUUUUGUUUUAUUAUCUUUUAUCUUUGUCUAUUUUGUUUCUAUUUGAGUCUAAAUUUAAUUUUGAGGAAUUUUUAAAACUUUAUUCAAAAUACAGAAGCCAAUGAGUGAAGCAGUAAACACUACAGAGGUUUAUAGCUCUUUCUUUAGCAUUCAAUACAACAGAAAGUAAUGACAUUCCUUCUCACAUUGGCCAAAAAAAAUGUUUUUAAUUCAGGAUAGUAGAUCCAUAGGCGCCAUAGGCUGAAUUUGUUGAGUCUUUAGAACUUUUGCUAUGUUUAUAUUAAUAGUUUAAAUAUAUGUGAAUGUGCUCGUAUUUCUAAGAAAAACCCAGGCUGUUGUAAGAUUUUCAAAGAAGUAUGUCUUUGAAAUAAUUUCCUCAAAAAGUUAAUGAUAACUGCAUGAAGUUAUUGUCUAACAUUUUUUGAGGUGCCUGAAUUUAAUUUAGUAGUGAACUGUGAUAGAUUCAAAAGCCUUCAUUUAUAAAUAUUAUAAAUCUAUCAGUCCAUCUAUAUUUUAAAUUAUAUAAUUUAUACGUUAUUAAAUUUGUAAGAAAUUUAGAUAUUGCACAAUAUAUAAUUUAUAUGUAAUUUAAUAAUAUAUUCAUAAUUUAAUUACUUAACUAAACCUGGAACAAUGUUGACAUAAGAAAAAGGGUAGCUUAAUUCUUCAGAAGAACAAAUUAAAUUGGAUAGGUAAGAUCACUGUCAUGUUAAGUUUGAACACUUAACUCUAAAGUACUGGACAUAUCAUAAAAAUAUAGACUGAAGCCAGGCAUGAUGGCGUGUGCCUAUAAUCUCAGCUACUCAAGAGGCAGAGGCAACAGGAUUGUUUGCAUUCAGGAAUUUGAGGGUGUUGUGAGUUGUCAUCUUCAACGUGGGUGAUGGAGGGAGAGCCCAUCUCUAAAUAAAAUAAAAUAGAUUGAACCAUCUCUCUGUUUUACAAUAUAAGUACAUUUACUUUUUAAUAAUGAACGAGAGGGUUAUUAAAGAGGUGCAUUUUGUGUGUUUUAUGUAACAUAAAAAGAUAGUCACCAGUUUCAUGUUCAAUGAGAGAACUCGCCUCACAUGAAAACAUUGGGAAAAUUAGAAAAUCGUACUUUUAUAUGUUUUUAAAAUAAAAUAUUUGUUCCAAUUUAUUUUUAUGUUUCCCUUUUUAACUACAGUUGAUCCUUGAACAUCACAGGAAUUAGGGGUCCUCACCCCCGAGGUAGUUGAAAAUCUGGGUAUAUCUUUUGACUCCUCAAAAACUUAAAUACUAAUAGCCUACUGUUGACCAGAAGUCUUACUGAUAACGUAAACAGUUUAUUAACACAUAUUUUGUAAGUUAUAUCUAUUAUACACCAUAUUCUUACUAUACAGUAUUCUUAAGAAGAGGAAAUGUUAUUAAGCAAAUUAUACGAGAAAAUAUUCCACUGCUUAUUAAGUAAAAAUAGGUAAUCAUAAAAGCCUUCAUCUUAAUUGUCUUCAAGUUGACUAAGCCAAGGAGGAGGAGGAAGAGGAGGAACUGGUCUUGUUGCCUCGGGUGGUAGAGGUGAAAGCAGAGGCAGAAGACGCAGGCACACUCGGUGUAAGCUUCACUGAAAAAAAUUCACAUGUAAGUGAACUUGUACAAUUCCAACCUGUAUUGUUCAAGAGUCAACUGUAGCAUUUUUGUAAUCUAUCAACUACCAAUUCCAAAGACAUCAAGUAGGAUGGCUUCUACUGUAAUAGUAUUAGUCUUUUUAUAAAAGUGAGAAAACCAUGUUCGGGGAGUUAUACCUGUGAAUUCCUUACAACCACAUGAAAGGUAAAACCCAGGGCUCAAGCAGGUGUAUCUUAUUCCAAGGGAUUUGAUUUCAACUAUUUUUUUUAUAAUGUCUCCUGUGACAGAGGAUUCGAAACUUGAAAGCAGUAGUAUCCACAGUAAAAAUUUGCAAGUAACAAUUUUCUCUGUUUUAUUUAAAAUGAAUGUGCAGCCUCCCUAGUCCAACUAGCUAGCCUUUCCUGUGCUUUCAGAGACCUUUGCUAGACCAGUAUUACAAUUUGGAGAUCCAUACAAUGAAAGUUGGAUGAGCCGUUUUCUGUUUCUGAGUUUUUAAAUUAUAGAAUAGCUGUUUUUUGUUUCUGACGAGUUUUUAAAUUAUAGAAUACUAAACCUAACCUAUCUAAAAUGCAAAUAUAUUUGCUUCUAACUUAAAAAAAUGUGUAAUAUCACUCAGUCUUUUAACUUGAUUAUUUCCAUUUUAAAAAUUCUAAGUAUUUCAAAUCAUAGAGCAAUAAACUUUACUUCACAGACUACUUGAGAUUAACUGACUAAUAUUUGAGAAGAUCUAAAUAACCCAGUUUUUUACAUAAUAUAGGGGCCCAGGGAAGACUCUGUUUUUCCUUUUCCCACUUCUAAGGAUUAAAAAUAAUUUGACCUUAACUUAUUGUUUUCCUCCCUGCUCUAGGUUUUAAGACCUUUUAGAACAGUGACCCUCAACCGGGCAUGAAUGGGAGAGGAGUAUGAGGCAGGAGGUGGGUGUGGUUGAGCGAGUCUUAGACUUUACCUCUGCCUGGGCACCCAUCUCAGUAAGAAUCCAUUCUGUGAUACAAUUUCAGAGGCAUAGGAAAGGCCACCCUUCCUUCAGAAUAGCUUGGUCUUAUACUGCACAUUUAUCUUAGAGCACAAUGAUUGACUAUCCCUUGUUCUCCAGUAAUAUAGUGACUGAACGCCACCCUGGAGUCAGGAUCUCCUAGUUUAUAGAGAGUCUGGAUCUACAACGACUAUAACAGCUGACCCUUUUCUCAGUGGUUUGUGAUCUUUAUCUCUAAAAUGAGAAUUAUAACACGAAUGUUGCAAGACUUUUGAGAGAAUUAAAAGAUUAUAUGCACAUAACAUUUAGCAACCAUGAUGGUUAGCAGGUAAUAGGAGUUGAAUAAAAGGUAAUUAUUAUCAUUAGACAUAUUAAAUGAUGCAGUGUAUUGUUUACUUGCCAGAAGUCCUGCAUGCUCAGUGCUACAGAAUUUAUAUAGGCAGAGCCAAUCAAUGGAAAUGUUGGGAGGUGUUUUUUUUAUUUUGUUUUGUUUUGUUUUGUUUUCUGACUGUCCUCUUGUCUUCAAAACAUCAUGGCACUGCUGCUGGAUUUGCCGGACUGAAUAGGCCACACUCCAGAUAUUCUUUUCAUUGUCAGGUCAUGAUAAAUAAUAAGUCUUACCUUUUCCUUCUGAAUUUACAAUCUCUCUUCAUUAGUUUGAAGUUAAUUCUUUUCUUUUUUGUAUCAUGCUUAUUUUGCAGACAUGAACAAUCUUGUCACUACUGUAUAUAUGCAAAUAAAGUAAAAUGAUAAAUUGCUUAAGUGUCUCUGUUUUUCUAUCUGUAGAAUAGGGGUCAUAAUCCCUUCCUGUCGCACUUUUCCAGACUGUUGAGAAAAUAAAAGAGCAUCAGUAUUCUCAUAAAUAGAAAAUUAAGCCAUUUAGACUUAUGUACAGGAAGUUUGAUAAGUAGACUUCAAGAGAAGAAGUGGCAAAGUAUUCUUUAAUUGUUGCUAUCCUAAGAAAAAGCUGUCUCUCUUGAUCUUUUAAUACCUCUCUUUGUCUUUCUUUCCCUCUCUGUCUACCUGCAUCUGUUCUGUGUGCCUAGAUCCUGUUUAUAUUUUCUCUCCUUAACUUUCUGCAUGACUGUUUUCAUGUAUGCAUGUAAAUUCUUUUUUCAUGUCUAGGCAAGUGCCAAAGUAACAUUGUAUUUGAUACAUAAAUUAAUUUUUAAUUAAAUUAAUGAAGCAGCUAGAGAAAUGUAGAUUUUAGUUCACAUGAAACUGAAGGGUACUAGCUACAUCGUAAUUAACAUAUUAAUGGUUUGUCAAGCUUGGUCAUCAUCUUGGUCAGGGGAUGCCGUAGGAGCUAGAUCAGUCCUGUAAUUUCUUUCUGUUUUUUUAAAAUAAAGCCAAUUAUUUCCAUAUGAGCUAGGUAUGCACUCCAUACCUGUUUGAUAAGAUUGAUUACAUUAGACAUUUCUCACAGAAAAAUGAGUCUAUGUUUCAUAUUUAAUUUUCACUUGGUAGAAAUUAAGUUCAGUGUGCCAUACUGGUCCAGUGAGAGCACAUUCAGUAAUUUUAUUGUAACCAAUUUUCACUUUAGAUAGUGGCCAGGAGGUAUUUGAACUGGGUUAUGAGUUUGUGGGGUUUUAAACAUGGUUCUUUUUCCCUUUUCCCUUGGCUGGAUAGUGUAUUAGUAUGUCCAAUAUGUCAUGUUGUUUUUACUGCUUAUCUGAAAAUCAAAUUUGAACAUCUUAUAUUUUUAUUUGGCGACUUUAUUUAGGUAGCAUUUUCCAUAAUGAAGUGCCUUAUUCCUAUUUCUCUGUAUAUUUCCCCUCACAUUAAGUAAAAGGAAUGGAAGCUAACUAGAAUAAAAUUUAUGUAUGAAAUAUCAGUGGGAAAAUACAAAAUUAAUAUAACAAUUUAUAUUAAAUUAAUAGAAAAUCAGAGAAAAGCCUUUCUUCUAAACAUUAGAUUCAUGUAAAAUUUGUAUUUGACUAUAUUCAUAUGAUUAAACAAAAUGGUUUAGCAAAUGUCAUUUAAUAAACAAAAGCCAGUUUACAACAUCAUCAUAAACGUUAGGAGAUUAAAAUUUGUUACGGUGUCUAAGCCACAUUUCCAGUUGGUUUCUGUGAUAUUCUUUCUUUUUUUUUUUUUUUUUGAGGUGAGAGCUUACUGUAUCACCGAGGCUGGAGUGCAGUGGCACAGUCUUGGCUCACUGCAACCUCCGUCCCAGGUUCAACCGAUUCUCCUGUCUCAGCCUCCGAAGUAGCUGGGAUUACAGGCACACGCUGCCACACUCAGCUAUGUUUUUUUGUAUUUUAGUAGAGACGAGGUUUCCCCAUGUUGCCCUGGCUGGUCUCAAACUCCUGAGCUCAGCCAAUCCACCCUCCUCGGCCUCCCAAAGUGUUAGGAUUACAGGUGUGAGCCACCGCAUCCAGCCUUCUGUGAUAUUCUCAGUGGCCUUUGUAUUAAUUACUACAGAGUAUUUUUUGGUGCAAGUUCUGGAGAGAACGUUUUCUAAGAAAUUAACAUCCUGAUUAAAGGAAUUUCACUCUUCAGUUAAUAGAAAGCAUCAUUUGUUUCUCACAUGAUCUGUUGCUAUUAGCUCCUUUAAAAUCUUUGCUAGCUUUUUAAACAUCAGUUGCUAUAAAAAGAUAAAUCUUAUGCACGUUACUUGUGCUGUGUGUUUGCCCCAGAUUUAAGUAAAUGUUUUACAUGGCACCUAGAGAUCUGUGAUAACAGCGCCCUGGCUGUGUUCCCGCACGUCACAAUCUAACCCCUUCCUCUAUCCCUAUCUCUUCCUUCCUGACCAUCCUAACCAUCCCCAGCUCAGUGGCUUUCUUCAUUUCCUGUUUUGCUCAUAUCCUCACCAGAGCCAAGCUCUCCAGCCAGGUCUUCUCCCUACAUUCAUCGGCUCCCCCACCACCACCAGUUCCCUCCUAUUUUUGCAGCCUGAGCAGAGAAUAACAAACCCAGAAGCUUUCAUAGUGUCACCCAAAGUCACACUAUGCACACAUGUGCUUGACCACAUAUUCACACAUAAUGAAUUUUUUAAUUGAAUUAGGGAAUUGUUAUGUAAAUUUGGCACCAUUUCUCUCAUUUUAUAUGGAUGGACAUAAGCACUUAAAGAUUAAGAGGUUACCAUCAAAGUUGCAUGCUCACAACUCAAGGCAGGAACCCAAGUGCUGCCAUCAAAUCAAGUUUUUGAGACUUAAGUUCUUCCUCUGUAAUAUAGGAUCAUAUGGUCCCAGCAUUAAACUAGAGCUUAAAAUACCUACUGAACUGCUUAUAGUGGGAUUUCAGAAAAUGUUUCUUCCCUGCAGUUUUCACUAAAGUGAAGAUGAUAUGUGAGAGACAAUUUGUGAGACCUAAUUCUGGUUGAGGCUAAGAAUUCCAUUCGUUUCCCAGUCACUGACAAGUUCAUUUAACUCUUUUUGCGCUUGGACAUAUUUAUUUUUUACACAAGAAUGUUCUGUGAUUAUAUGAUUCUAUCAUAUUUUCAGUUUAAAAUUUGACCUAAUAAUUAGCAUAUAGCAAGUCAAGAAUCUUCAGAUAAUGAAUAUAUGAGAAAAUGGUGGUAUCCAGUGCUUUAUUAAAAUAAUACAAAAUACAUUAUUUUCCAGUUGUUUCAUGACACAUUUGAGAGUGACAUAGGUACUUUAUUGUUUCUAUCGAUAUUUUAAAGUAAAUUCUAGGACAUUUUUAAGUAAUUGGAUUUUGUAAAAUUAUCCCACAUAUCUAAGUUACAUUUUUUACACUGUUGCAGCACAGUACUUCCCUUCGAUCCUCAUUUGCGCCUCUGGCUUUCUUUAGUCUUCUUAAGCAAUUCCCCCCCGCCCCUCUCUCUGUCUCUCUCUGUCUCUGUCUCUCUCUGUCUCUCUCUCUCUCUCUCUCUCUCUCUCUCUCUCUCUCUCUCUCUCUCUCUCUGUCUCUCUCUCGACUGCUCUAGUCACAGAAUAGUAUGUAUUCUGUAAAGGUUUUAUAACUUGCCUACCUACACCAAUAAAGUUUAAAUUCCUCUGCAGAAGAGUAAGGAACUUGAAAUCUGCUUCCACUGCACCAACAUGAAAUCAUAUCAGGCUGUCCCUUCAUCUCCUGAGUCCACCAUUUCCCAGCCCCUACCAGUACAGCAUUACUUUAUAUUUCACUCACAAUGAGGUUCCAUGCACCAGUGUAGCACAUGAGCAGUGGUGUGUAGUGGAAGGCAAGAAGGUUCAUUAGGUGUAGGCUUUGAAAUGAGGCAAAGAGAUCCCAAAUGUAGCUCUAUCAUUCUGUGGCUACGGGGCUGUCUCUGUCCCUAUAAACCUCAUUAUUUUACCUAUAAGUAAGAUAAUAACACAACAUAGAGCUCCCAUUAGGAUUAAAUGAUAUAACAUAUUUUAAAUUAUGGUAUAAAUUGUUCGGUACAGGGAAGGCAGUAAGUGUUAUCGUGAUACAAUAAAGAUGUACAGGAAAGUUUUUGCUUUCUUUUGAUUAUUCUGUCUAAAAAGUUUUGAAUUAUUUUCAUUUCUGGCAAAAUUGUAUAAUCUUUAAAAUCUGCUAACCUUUAUAUUCACAUUAAAAUGUUAUUAAUAAUAAUCAUGUUGCAUGCCACUCUCUUACUUCUUAAUUGACAUUGUAUCUUUUCUUAUUCUAACUUUUCUCCAGAUUGACACUAAGAAAUAGUCAUAGGUAAUUAGGAUGAAAAAGAAUUUGUCAGUCAUUUAGUCCAAUUUUCUCAUCUAAUAAUUUAUAAAACUGAAAUUCACACUCAUCAAACUCAUUGAUAACUAACAUAUUUUUGUGAGAUGGUUUGUAUAGUAUCUGCCCUCAGAGUAGUCUGUCAGUUUGCAAAAAGUAGCAAACUGUGUCUGUCUGAUUGGCUUAGUAUCAACAAUGAUUGAUAUACGGUGAAUUCUCAGUGGUAGAUAUUUCUGGAAAAAAAAAUGUUGUGGAACUACUUGUGAGCAGACUUCUGAAUGGUUGGCCAGUGCUCUUUGUGCUAUACCACGUUUCUUUUCACUCAAACUUCAUCUUAUUUUGUAGAUUCACUUAUUUAAAAAAGCUUUUUAUGCAUCCUGGAGUAGCCCUCAUAAAACUGAUCUUUCUAAGAUCCAGGGAUGCUCCUGGUUGUAUAAUGUGAUCAUGUGUGUUUGGAAUUCUAAUGAUGCAUACCCCUAGAGACAGACCAAGGAGAAAAACUAAAGCUGAAGCAGUAAUUUAUUUAUUUCUUCAUUUAUUUACUUUUUCCUGGCUAAGAAGAUCUACACAUGUGGAUCUUCUAUCCUCGGCAUCAAAUUCAGUGGUCCUUUCUUGUGUCUCACAAUUCAUUGCUUCAACCUUAAUUUCACAGCAGUGCCAAUUUUGUGUUAACCUUGGCUGUCUGCAGACUACUUUCAUUCUUGUUGCUUUAUUUCUACUCUAUAAUAACUGAUAGAGAAGCAGAAAAGUUUACGUUUCAUAAAAAAGACUUAUGUUUUAUAAAUGAGGGAACUAAAACAUCAUCUAAAUUCAGAUACCCACUCUGCCAUCAUACUGUUUUUAUGCUGUACACUUUUCCUUCACUGGGUUGGAGCUGCCUUAGAACUGUGGUUGAGCUAAGGAUGCAGUAGCUCCCACCUGUAAUCCCAGCACUUUGGGAGACCAAGGCAGGUGGAUAGCUUGAAGUCAGGAGUUUGAGACCAGCAUGGGCAACAUGGCAAAACCCUGUCUAAUAAAAAUGCAAAAAUUAGCUGGGCUUGGUGGUAAGCAAAUGUGUUCUCUUUCCAGGUCCAUGAGGGGCCGUAGUUUUAAGGACAAGAAUUUCCCAGUGCCAUACCCCCUCCCAUCUCUCUCCAUCAGGGAGUUUUAACAGUUUAUGUUUAAAUUUCACGGGUGAGGGAAGAAACUAAAAGUCACUCCAGCGGAAGUUCUAAGGAACUCCUUUCAUUGGCCAGAAGAACUUGGUAAGGUGGGAAUUUUUCCCAGGAUAAAUACCCCUGCUCCUUCUCCCACGCCAGAUUUCCAGCUUUCUGGAAUCCCCUCCACAUGGUGGGAGCUCCCUUUCCCCUCUGAGAUUUCCCCCUCUGAAAUCCCCUUCCACAUUCUUUGUGGAAGUCUUUCUCUUUUCUCCUUUCCUUCUCUUUUCUGUACCUAAAUAAAAUCACCUUUCUGCAAUACUUCUUGGGUCCGAUAUUUACUUUCAUGAACAUAGGAUGCACCUUCAGUGGUCUCAUCGCUUAUUCUUUAAGAGGUUGGAGACCAAGAACCCACAGCAUUCUCUCGGGGGAGCUGUGCCUCACCAGCACCCAAGAGAAAACCUGGUAACAGUGGUGCAUGCCUGUAGUCCCAACUACUCAGGAGGCUGAGGCAGGAGAAACGCUUGAACCCAAGAGGCAGAGAUUGCAGUGAGCCAAUAUUUGCCACUGCCCUCUAGCCUGGGUGACAGAGCAAGACUCUGUCUCAAAAAAAAAAAAAAAAAAGAGAAAAAAAAGAAAUGUGGACCUCAGUUUGGUAAUCUGGAAAAUGGGCCAGAUGAUCUCUAAGGUUAAUAAGUAUUUAUUUAUAUUCUACCAGAAAUACAAAAACUUAGCUGGGUGUGGUGGCAUACAUCUGUGGUCAUAGCUACUCAGGAGGCUGAGUGGGGAGUAUGGCUUGAGCCCAAGAGGUGGGUGUUGUAGUGACCCGAGAUCAUGCUAUUGCACUCCAACCUGGACCUGUCUAUUGCACUCCAGCAAGACCCUGUCCCCCCACCCCCCAUCCAAAAAAAGAAAAAACUAUAGCUGAGAUAUUCUGCAACACUGAGAGAAAUCUAACCUUUCUCCCCAUAAGUUCUAGCAAAGUUCCUAGAGCAGCCUUGGGCUAUAGGACCAUUGAAUUUCCAUGCUAAAGUGCCUCCCACGCAGCCCCAUGGAGUCCUGAAAUUAAACAGGUGGCUAGUUCAAAUUGUGGUUUAGGGAUGCAAAGUCUGUGUUUAGUAACUAGCACUUGAACCUGGCAAUAACCUUCAAUGAGUAUCUCAUUUUCCUGCUCCUGAGAGAGAAAAAAAUCAACAAAUAUAGACUGAGUGUGCUCUAGUGUCAGAUUGUCGGAGUUCGAAUUACUUGUUGGGUGUAUGGCCUUAAAUAAGUUCUUUCAUUUCUCUGUACCUCUGAUGCUUCACCUGCAAAGCAGUGUCAACCUCAAAGCUGGAAAAAAUAAAUGAAAUAAUAAAUGUAAUAGUACAGAGCCUGACUCACAGUAGUGCUCCAUAGAUAUUAGCUCCUAAUCAUUAUUAUUCAUUACUUUGUGAAAAUCAAGUUGCAAUUUCAUCUAAUCUGAGUUGCUCACAUGCAUAUUUUUCUUUAUGCUAAAAAAAAUUCUUUACAAACAAGAAAUAAAUGGGGUAGAAUUUACUUUCUUCAUUUAUAAUUAGAUGAUUUCAGUUAAUCUGAUUUUCAGCAAAACCAUCUUUAUCAGUUUGACCAUGUUGGAAACUGAACACACUCAAAUGGCAUUAUUGGCACCACAUUGGAAAUGUAUAUAACCUUAUGUUGAAAGUUCAAUUACAAGUGUAAUUCUGUCUUGACGUUUGCUUGAAAUUCAUCUCUUUUGGGUUAUAUGUUAAUAAUGAAGGGCAGAAAUUUGCUAUAGGCAUUUACAUUUGAUUCAGACACAGGUUUAUAUUGUUUGCCUGUAAUAUAUUUAACAUUCCAAAACUGCUUUCUGAUUUAUCUUAUCUACCUUAAAACUUACAGUUAUUAAUCGUUCUCAUUUUUCCAUUAAAGCUAGCAUACUGCAAAGCAGGAUAUUAAUAUACUCUAUAAGUUGUAGAAUUUCUUAAUGUCUAUCUCUACCAUUGGAUGAGGCGUCAUAGUCCCCUUCUCCUUAAGAAAGUAGAAAAUAUUCUAUGCCAGUAGUUGUCAGUAAAAAAGGGUAUGUGUCCCUAAAUUUUAUUUUAUAUGAAUAUUAAUAUUCCUUAUAUGGCCAUCAUUUUUAGUGUUUCAUUUUCCAAAUGCACUUUCUAAAAACAUGUAAAAUUAUGGUCCAUUACUAACACUAAUGGAUAAUUUUGCGACUGAAUUCUGCACCAAAAACGAUUAUUUGCUGUGUGAGGACAGACUUGCAAAACAAGAUGUGGUAGCAUUUAAAUGGCCACUUAUUUUUAGUAGAAGACUGCCCUGACUGUGGUCUAAAACUUCGAUUUCCAUUUCAUGGUAUCAUUAUCUUCAGACCCAGAUGGGCAUCUCUUGCACUUAAGGAGCAUGAGGGAAACCAAUUUGAUUAAAAUUGGCUGUUUCGUAUCUUUAGGAAAUUUGGAGAUGGAAAAAUAAUAAUUUGUGUAAUAAAUGUAUGAUCUGCAGCCAUGUUCGUCCUCCAAGGUAAUUAGCAAUUCUGUAUUUUCAGGAACCAGGAAGGCAACAGACUUUUCCACGGGAUGCUCUUUUUGUAGAAAAUUGUGGGUAUAAUACUUGAUGGGUCAAACUGAACAAAGUAAACUGUUUGAUUUAUGGUGUGAAUAUUAUGAGAAUUAUUCUGUAAUUCAUUUCUUCCCAUCAAUUCAUAGGAUCGAUCUUUUAAGCAUAUUUUGCAAUCAAAAUUUCUAAAAGACGCCUAAGGAUCUUAUACUGUAACAACAUCAUCAUUCUUUCUAUAUUAUUUUCAUGCAAUAUACUGCAUUUCUGGAUCCAUUAAAGUUAUUUUAAAAAUUUCUUCUUCUAUUAAUGUUGCCACAGUCUUUUUCAAACAUUUAUGAAGUCAGCAAUGAUUCAGUAAAACAGAAGUUAAAUAGCACUGAAAGCAUAAACAGUGCUCAAGGAGAUUUGGAUCUUUUUUUAAAAAAAUUAAGAUCUAGGAUUUACCCAUACUUAAAUAAAUUUUAAGUAUUUAUUUUUUUAACUAAUCUCCACUGAAAGCUUCUUCAAGCACUGUUUGUAUGUUGUUUAAAGUGUAAAUGAAUAGGAUAAUGAAAACAAUUAUUAAAUAAAAUAGAGGUUAAGUGACCUGCCUGCAGCCAAAGAGUUAGUUCACAGCUAUGCCAAGAAUCAGACUUAGAUUUUCUGGUUUGCCCAUGUUCUGUUCACUGCUCUUUUAAAGAAGUCAAGGUUUUAAGAUAACUGACGUCAAUACAUAGUUCAGUAUCUCUGUUUGUCAGCACAAAAUACACUUCAUGCUAUUGUGGUGUUUAGAUAAAAUAUACAAAAUAUAAAUGCUAAUGAGAUGCCCAGUAUGUAAUGACUAACCACAAAAAGCAAUACAAUGUGACAAAUAUUUAUUAAACUGCUAAUUCUGUCAAUAUAAAUAUUUCUGAGGAGCAUAUUCUUUUCACCUUCAGAAAGCCAUAUAAUCCCAGCAAUUAGUGAGGGGUGAAACCAAUCAAUGGUAAAAUACUUUCAGAUUUUUAAAAACUAAUUUAGUAAUUGGCAGUAUAUUCAGGAAUAUUUUUAAGUUGGCCUUUUUGCACCACAAAGAUUCAGUUCUGCUAUUCUGUUGAUAAAACAUGUGCUAAAUGAUAGCAGUGAUAAAUAAGUCUAAGUUUGGAAAUGUUUAGAAAUGCAAUUCCAGAAAGAAAACGUCCUAAAUGAUGGAAGAAAAAAAUGAGUUAACUUAGAUGUUUUUCUGUUCAAUUUAGAAGAUGAACCCUAGAUUACAAAGCAUUAUUUGAUGAUCUCUGGAACAAGGAUAUGAUAUAAGGAAAUUUUCCCUUACAUACAUUGCAUCAGGCUCUUGCCCAUCCCUCCAGGACCUUGCACUGCCUGUUCCAUGGGUCUUAGAUGUCAGGUUCUCCAAGAAUCCUUCCCAGACUCCUGGUGUCUAUGGGAGAGAAAAUCCAAUGUGCCCCUUACAGUCUGUACUUUGUCAGCCUUUGUCACAAUGCAAUCAGCACAUCGAAUGCUGUGACCUGUUUACCUGUCAUCAUUUCCCUGGACAUCAACUUCCCAAGGACUGGAACUGGGUGUCUAGUGGUCUAGCUGGGUUUCAUACACAGUAAUCAACUCUGAUUGAAUGAAGGGAUACUCAAGUUAAUUAGGCCCCGUGCAAUUCCCUAUAGCUUAGAGUCACAGGCUUUCUUUUAAAGCUCUUUACUACACUUUAUUUCACUCAGAUGACAGAUGAGGAAGCUGAAACUCAGGCAGGCUAAGAGGUCAUACACUAUAAAUGGUGGAGUGAGGAAAUCAAGCCCAUUCUCUUUCCUUGCUUAUUCUUUCAUUCAACAGAUUUAUGCUGAGCAUCCUCUAUGUGUCAGACAUUAUGUCAAAGCUGAGAAUCCAAAGAUAAAUAGGUUAAGAUUUCCUGAAGCUCCCUGCCUUAUCAGAGAUAGACUAUAAACAGUAAUUAUAAUUCAAUGUGAUAAGGGCUUUGACAGAACCGUGUACUCUGUGCUGUAGAAUUUCUAAAGAAGGAAUCAAUGUCUGUGCAUAUUAAAUUGCUCCAUUUUAUUUUAAUAUUCUUUUAAUACUAUUUUAUGUCUGACUGUUUAGUAUAUAACUACCCUCAUGUAGAAGAAGGUAGGCAAAGGCCUAUUUAAAUGAAAGUUUAAAUGUUGCAAUAUUAUUUCUAAACUAAUUAGUUUUCAUGAUUGUUCAUAUUGUACAUUAAUUCGAAUAUAAAACAGAAGUCUAUAUAAAGCCAAAUCCACAAUAGUUCUAAGUGACUUGCUUAGAAAAAUUAUUAUUGUCAUUUAUAUAACUUGAAAUCCAAAGAAGAUUCUCAGAAGAGUAUGAUCAUAAGCACAUUACCAGAAUAGAGUGUAGAACUGGGGUAGGAGCACAAUAUGGCAUGAAGAUGGCUUAGGGUGAAUCAGGAACUAGCAAGACCAUUCUAGAAAGCAGCUGUGUGCCUGAGCUUUGAUUGGAAGUUCAUCUGCUGUUUUUAAAAUCUUUUAAAGAAUAGCUGGUUGGCUGGAAGAAUAGAUUUAUUUUACUUUUCAUAGUUUUUAAAUUAUUAUUCUGACAAAAUAAAAGCCAAUGCAGAUUAUGGCAUUUAAUAAUGGCUAUUAAAAAUAUUUUACCAAAUGAAUAGAAACAAAAUAAUUGUCAAUAAAAAACAUAAGUCUAUUUGCAUUUCUUAAUAAUCACCAAGCUAUUCAAACUGAGAGCAAUCAGAAGCUCAUAAAGAAAAAGCCAUGAACCUACCGGGAAAUUCGAGGGAGGGGUCUGGCUUUAUCAAUCUGUGUAUCUCCAGUGCUAAGCACAAUGGCUCAUGCAUGGUUGAAAGGCUUCAACCACAACAAGAAGACUCCCAACUUAAUACUUCUUUUUUUUUUUUUUUUUUUUUUGGAGACAGAGUCUCUGUCACCUGGGCUGGAGUGCAGUGGCAUGAUCUUGGCUCACUGCAACUUCCAGCGCCCAGGUUGAAGCGAUUCUCCUGUCUCACCCUCCCUGGUAGCUGGGAUUGCAGGUAUGCACAACCAUGCUCAACUAAUUUUUGCAUUUUUAGUAGAGGCAGGGUUUGGCCAUGUUGGCCAGGCUGGUCUUGAACUCCUGACUUCAAGUGAUCUGCCCUCCUCGGCCUCCCAAAGUGCUGGGAUUACAGGAAUAAGCCAACAUCCCAGGCCUAUGACUUCAGUUUAAAAAAUAAGUAAACAAACCAAAAAUUGAAUAGACAUAAACCAAAUGAGGAUAAAAGAAAACUCUGCUUUAAAAGCCUAAUUCCAAAAACCUAAGAGCAGCAAGUUAUCAGUGAUUAAAAGCUAGGAAGCAUGCUGGGUGUUUAAAAGUAAUAACUUCCCUACUAAAGCAGCCACACCAGUGAAAAUGGGUAGAAGCCAGUAAGGAGGCAUUCACCCCUUUCAAGCAUCUGAGGAAUGCACAUUCAACACAUUCCAAGCACACCUCCCCCGCUGCAGACUGACUGCUCAGGCCAGCGGCCUUUCACCUCUAGCCACAUUGCGCAACAAUUAGUAGGAAAACAAAAGAGAUGACUUUCUGGAUUUGUCACAUUGCUUCACACUGGUGCCCCUUUCUCUUGUAAUCAGGAUAAAGUAAGUCGCUGCCAGGCACGGUGGCUCACACCUGUAAUCCCAACACUUGGGAUCCAUGCACGCAGCAGGUGGAUCACAUGAGGCCAGGAGUUUGAGAUCAGCCUGACCGACAUAACGAAACCCCGACUCCAUUAAAAAUACAAAAAUUAGCCGUGAGUGGUGGCGGGCACCUGUAAUCCCAGCUACUCGGGAGGCUAAGGCAGGAGAAUCACUUGAACCCGGGAAGCGGAGGUUGCAGUAGGCUGAGCUCACACCAUUGCACCCCAGCCUGGGCAACAAGAGGGAAACUAUCACACACACACACACACACACACACACACACACACACGUUGCAACCGCAUUGUGAAAAGGGGAAAUGUGUGAACCCAAAAGUUCUAAUAAAGUAAGUGGAAGGGUCAGCAGAAAAAGAGGAAGUAGUUUAUGUAGAACAGCUCCAGAAUUUGCUAGAUAUUUUUUUUCUUCUGGUCAUUUUUUAGAAUUGUUCGCUUAAAUUCCCACUUCCAAUUUAUUGUGCAUAUAGUCUCUUGGCUCAAGAAUGGAGGAGAAGGUGUUUGACUCUAGAGAGACUAGAGUUAAACCUGUGGUUUAGUAAGGUGAGUUAGAGUUCAUAAACAAAAAGCUCUGUGUUCAUCAACCAUCUGCUGGCUGCAUGCAAAUCAAGCCAGUCAGGAAACUCAUCCCACCUUUGAUAACCAGAAGCAAAGUGGACUAAUUGUACUAUGUCACUAGUUUUUACUAUAUAGAUAUCUGUGGAUAUUGCUCUAGAACAUAUAUAUAAAUUACUUGCUCCCAAUUCUUUUACAUUUUAUCAAUAUCAAUUGUGUUUUGCUUAAAAACUGAGCCUCACAUAACCAAAAUUUCUACUUUAAUAAAGCAAGUUAAUUGUGGUGAAAUCUAAUUAUCUGUUUACUGUGAUUUCAUUAUAAAUCUUGUCGGUUUUUUUUUUCCAUUGUCCUUAUGUAUUAACACCUGUUGUAAGACAUAUUUGAUUACAGUUUCAUUAGACAGGCAUACUGCUUCAGUAUUGUUUGAAAAAAGUCGUUUUCAGCUUCAUGUUCUAAGAGGAACCAAAUAUAACAUUUACUUUUCAUUUUGAUCACAUAUUAACUUGAGGUCAUAAUUUUGCUUUUAACACUAUCUGUUCUAAAGUAUAGAUAUAGGAGGUAUGGAAGUAUGUGUUUGCCACAGAAUAAACCCUGGAUAUAUUUCCAUCUUAUAAAACCUGUCUUUAUGUAAAUAUUUAAAUAAAAUGUUUUGUGAUAAAUGAUUUUUAUCAUUGCUUAUUAUGUCAUUUUCUAUUAAAAGUGAAUUUGAUACUUAAUGAACUCUAAUUUUUAAGACGUUAAGUUCUAGUCCAUUUUCCAUAUGAUAUAGGGUUAGUGAAGCAAAUUAGUUUAUGGGAUCAAAAGCUACAAACAGGCUGGGUAUGGUGGCUCAUUCCUGUAACCCCUGCACUUUGGGAGGCCAAGGCAGGAGGAUCACCUAAGGCCAGGAGUUUGAGACCAGCCUGUGCAAUAUAGCAAGAUCUCUAUCUCCAUGAAAACAAAAUAAGUAAAAAAAAAAUUUAGAAAUAGACCUUUUCCAAAAUGUGUUUAUUUCCUUAUGCCAUUCUGCCAAUUAAAAAUUGUCAGUUUCUGGAUUUUACUUGGAUGGUGAUUUCUUAAUACUAGAGGUACUUAUUCUAGGCAUUUGUGAUUUUUAUCAUUCGCAGGUAGAUUAACUCGUGUCUUGCCUUCAUUAAUAAUUACAGAAGAUAAGAUACAUUACAAAACAGUAUCUCCAAAGAGAAUUUAUCUACCUCUGUGGGUCAGUGGGGGAACAUCAAGAGUAAGGAGGGAGUAUACCUGCAACAUUCUGAAUAAGAUUUUGAUGUUAAUGUCAACGUGGCUUGUUAGUCUGAUAUGUCCCCUGUAUGCCACUCAAGAUGGUGCCUACUCCUUACCACUCAUACUUACAAUACGUUCCUCUUAUGGGGUAUGUAUGGAGUGUGAUGGCUUUUUAAAAAAUAACAAAUUGGGGAACUAUUGUGAAUAUAUAUAUAUAUAUAUAUAUAUAUAUAUAUAUAUAUAUAUGAAAAUGUAUUUUAACUGCUCUAUAUAUAAUUUAAAUAUAAAAAGUUAUAUAUGUUUAAAAUUGAAAGUUAAAAAGUGAAUAUAAAACUCUAAAUAAUAAUAUUUCAAGCCAGGUGUGGUGGCUCAAGCCUGUAAUCCCAGCACUUUGGGAGGCCGAGGCUGGUGGAUCAUGAGGUCAAAAGAUUGAGACCAUCCUGGUCAACAUGGUGAAACCCCAUCUCUACUAAAAAUACAAAAAAUUAGCUGGGCAUGGUGGCCUGUGCCUGUAAUCCCAGUUACUCAGGAGGCUGAGGCAGGAGAAUUGCCUGAACCCAGGAGGCGGAGAUUGCAGUGAGCCGAGAUCGCGCCAUUGCACUCCAGCCUGGGUAACAAGAGCAAAACUCCAUCUCAAAAAAAAAUAAUAAUACAGUAAUAAUAAUAAUAUUUCAACCUGAACUAAAACUGUGCCUAUUGAACAGUGCAUAAAAUAUUAAAUCAAUUAGUCAGAAAAGAGUUACUUGAGUAGUGAAUUGCAUCCUGCAUUGUCAGCCAGUGAUAUUUAUGGCCAAAUACUUGGUAGACUAGAUUCAUAAAAUGUAUAAUUUUAAAAUCAACACUUUUCAUCAAAUAGAAGAGUUUGUUUUUAAUUUGAUUAUAGAUCCUACUUAAUCAUUGCUUUAGGUUCUUAUCAAUACACAUUUUUUAUUUAGAAAGUUCUUUUAUAGAAUAUUGAUGAGCAGAUUUCUAGGAUUUCUUUGUAAUUGAUUCUGAGGUUUUUGUCCAUGUUAAAUACUAUGAGUCUGUAACUUCAUAAUAUUCUCCAAAAAGCAGGUUUGUUACUUUUCUUUGUCUCAAAGAAAGCUUUAGAGACAGAAUCUAGAUCUUUUAAAUUUGAAAGGCAUUCGGCUUACUCAGUUACUUCCUCUAAUGAUUGACUACUGUUGUAAAACUUUAAUAUUUAAGAAGAAGAAAAUUACGAAUUGUAUUGUAAAAUAGUCAAUUAUAAGUAAAGAUUUUGUGUGUGUGAAAAUCUGGCAAAUUUCAUUCCAUAAUCCUUCAAUCCAAUUGAAUGUGUACUAAAAAAUCAAGUUUUACCUUGAACUAUCAAGAUUAAUACAAGACUCCCAUGUUUUUUCACAUUUUCCUGGUCUUCAAUGUUCUAAGGGAUUUACUCUCAACAUUUUUGAUGUUCUCAUUUUCUCACUGGCUGUAAAAAUCACCAACCUUGUGCAUCAAUACUAGGAGCUCUUACUUAAAAUGAUUAAUUAUAACGUUUUCAACAGUGGACAGUAAUGUUUUUUUCUUGGGGGGAAAAAACCUUCCUUAUAUAUUUAUGUGGUUCUCUUGCCUCUAUAGUUGACUUAGAUUAAUUUCUUUGCUAAUGUUCUUGUUCAGUUGGAUAAAAGAAAGGCUUUAGGCUUUGUAUUUCUUGAAAACCAAGAAAAGUAAGAAAAUAUCAAAUUGUACCACUUCUUUCCUUGGGCAGUUGACCCAUGUGUACACGUGCAUGCAUAUCAAUCCAAUCUUUUGCAGUGAACUCAGUUUAUACAUGAGGUCUGUUUUUCAGUAUUGUAGAAAGGUAACUAAUCUUUUUGAAAAUACCUUGUCGGCACCUAGUGUUCCAAAACAUAGGUUGAAUUGAGUGUGGGAAUAUCAUAUAGUAUUGGAAGAAAAGUAAUUAAAACAUUUAGAAAUUGUUUUGAAGAAUGCAUUGCUGCAAGGUGGCAUAGCCAUAUAAACAUGACACCACCAUCUUAUGGAAUGUACAAAAAAGGGGUGUCUCUUGUGCCAAAUAAACAUUCUUCAAUUAACGCUUCGCAAUAUGUAGUGUGAACUUUCCUAGUCUGUGUUUAUCCAUCCUGAAGCUGCUACUUUUAAUGCCUCAAAAACUGUUGCCUGUAUAUAUUCUCCUUCUGCUGGAUCUUGGGAUAAAAAUCUGAUUACAGGUACAUUUUCUUCUUGAAUCUGUCUAAUAAGCUGAACUAAAACUAAAUGAAUACAAGAAAGCAAAGAAAGGUCUUCUUAUGAUGCAUUAGCUGUGCCUAUAUAAAUAUAAGAAUUGGUGAGGGCUACAAGAAUAAACUGGCACAAUAAACUAUUUGUAUUUGAACAUAUAACACUUACUUCAAAUUCUGUAAUUAAUAUAACUAUAUAUGAAAUGUUUUCCACUCAGGAUAUUUACAGUCAUAGAUUUUGAGAGGAAAAAGUUAUUUCAUUUUACUGUGAGGAUCUGAAUAGGCAUUUUGACAUUCAUUAUCUAUUUGCAAGGAAAUGACAGGUUCUCAAAAUGAGACAGUCUUUGUUACCUGUCUCUUUUGAAAGACUUACUCUCAUGUUGUUUAUUUGUUUUUUCUGCAUUCAUCUUGCUUUUUGUUGAAAUAAUGCAUAUUCUUUUUAAUUAGGUCUACUUAUUUAAAUAAAACUCCUUAAUUGUGAAUAAUUAUUAAUCACCAUAUUUAUAUAACUAGAUACAAAAAUCGUUAAAAAGUUAAUGUGCUUAUAAUUAUAAUGUUACUGUUCCUUACACUUACUAUGCAUUAAUAGACAUCCUGAAAAAGAGGAAAUGCAUAUCUUAGAAGUGGCUUAAGUCAUUUUGUGCCCUUCUUCUCAGGGAUAGUCAUAUAUUUUGGAGCAGCCAAAAUUCACACCUCUUCACCAAUGUACAGACCCAAAAUGCCAGGUUAGUAUGCAUUAGUAGAAGGGCAUAUUUCCCUCACACUUUAUUAAUGAAUCUCUUUCAUGAAUUUUUCUUUUCAAAUGUCUGUAACUUUUAUUAUCUUUGCUUAUAUCAAAUUCAGUUUCACUGGACUCCUUAGAAUGCUAUGAUUCAAAUAGUUUUUUGAAGCUCACAUUUUAGGCUUUGUUCAAUUCUACUUAUAGUAUUUAUCACAAUUAAUUGUUAUUCCAUCUGCCUCUGAGCUACCUUUUACCUAAUAGUCGCAGAGUUGAGCCCAGUCUCGUGCAGGAAGAACAGGGAUAUAUUUGGCAGAUAAACUGAUUAGUGAGUCUACAUCAAGUGAUUGAGUCAGUGGUUCAUACCAACAUAGCUAGAGGGAUGCUUUUUGAACUAUAGGCAGCUGUCCUUCCUCUUGAUACAUAUAGCUUUAAUCAUUUCCAGCAUUUUCUUUUCUAUUUACUAUUUUCACCAAGGAGGAGAGGGCCUUAUAAUAUUGGCCUUGUUAUGUUAGCGUUCCAUAGAUAAAUACCUUAUUUAAAUCAUAUGUAAAUUACAUCCAUCCUUCAAUAAAAAUUUUCAAACUAGUAAGUCAUCUCCUAAUAAUUUUUCAAAAUUUAGGUUAUUAAUUUCAGAUAAGGCUAAUAGACAAUGUUUUCUUUUUCCUAUAACAUUCUUAACCUAGAACCAAGUUUGUAACCAGAUCUCAGGGUAUAAGAAUUUUCUUUCGUUAUUGAAAAUGUGAUUAGUGUGACCUAAAGCUCCAACUUAUUAUUACAUACAUGGGACCCAAGCUAGCCAGUUUCUUCUUAUUUAAGCUAUCUUUCCUUAGAGCCCUUUCAUUGUUCCUCUUGGGGAGGACUUAAAGGUUUUCUUGGUUCUAGUCACAAUCAGAAAAUAUAAAAUGAAUUUUGCACAUGUAAGGAGAAAGAAGUAGAGGUACAUUAUUGCAUGAAAACAAGGUCUAGCAUAUUUUUUAAAGUUGCUAUAUUAAAUAGAAUCAGCAGAUGUAAACAGAACACUAGGUAAACUACCACCAUUUAAACUUCAGAGGAAGACAACUGAGUACAAUGAAUAAGAUGUUUUCUGAUGUAAUCACUAGGGUGUCAAAAAAGGGGCCGUCAAAAAAUGACCAGGUCUGAUAAAUGAAUUAUUUAAAAGAGUGAUUAAAAGCCAAUGGAAAUUAUAGGAAUGGCAGCAGAAAAGUAACCUGAAUGUAGAAAUAGAGGUACAUUCAACUGGCCAACUGGUGUAGGAGUUCUGUUAUCCCCAGGCUGAGUUAAAUGAUUAGGAAUGCAGACAAGAAGGCAUGGUUUUCAUAUUAUCUCAACACAUCUCUCAGUGGAUGCAUAGUGGAUGAUAUGGAGGUUGUCUUGUAAUCCUAAAUGGAAGAAGAUAUAAGUCAUGAAACAAGAUAGCGAGGAAUGUGAUAGAAAUAUGUUUGAACCUCACAUGUUUUAAGUUUUAAAGCCCUUAGAAAUUUCAUCUUUUAAAAUUAUUAUGUUCCAUUGUUAUUUCUACUCAAGAAUAGACUGACUGACCUUUCUUGUCUUCAUUUUUUAAAAAUAGUACCUAACACAUUUUGUACAAAAUCUCUAAGAAAUUUUGGGAUUUCUUUAAAUUCUUAACUCAGUUUUUUCAAGGCAAACAAUUCUGAAUAAAGAAACACAAAAUUUCAGACAUGUUUCAAGUAUGUAAAAACUCUAAAGUACCUGGAUCCUAGUGAAUUACAGAUGCAGUUUAGGUAGCUAUCCUAAAAAUUAGGGAGGUCAAAUACUACCUCUUUGUUUGGAAAUUCCACCUCCAUGACUUGUUCAUGAUAGCCUUUUUGUGAAAAGGGUUUUGACAGUAAAGAAUGAAUGAAUGAGUAAGCAGUUUUUAUUAAACAAGCUUGACUUUGUUCUAUUGCUGCUGUCCUUUUGUUGCUGUAAUGUGGCUUCUAAUUCCUGCAAUACCCAACAUGUUUUCUUUCUCUUCAAGAAAUAAGCUUCACUAAAAUAUUUUCACUUCUAAACAUGUGACAUGUAUUUGAAAUUUUCUUUAACAGAGAUCUCGUUUAGAGUGUUGUCUAGAAUAUUGAUAAAAAUCUUUUCAAAUACCCUCAGAGCUGCCUGAAUAGGGGAUGCAGGGCAGUCAGAACUACAAAUAUCCCUUCUGUUCUCUCAUACUAUUUGUUGAAUAUUUUCUAAGUAAUAGAGGGGAAAAGAAGAUAUGAAAAUUAUCCAAGAAAUAUACAAAGGAGAAAUACUUGAUGUGAUGGAUACUGUUUACCCUGAUGUGAUUACGCAGUGCAUACCUAUGUCAAAAUAUGCCAUGUGAUCCAUAAGUAUAUACACCUAGUGUGUAUCCACAGAAAUUCAAAACUAAAAAGAAAUUUUCCAAGGUAUAUGGGCAUAUAAUCUCAAUUUACAGUUGUAGAAGUUGGAUGCCUGAGGUUUGGAUGCAUUACUGCUUUCGCAGGUCAGGUUUCUUGAAAACUGGUUGGAGUUUUUGAGAGUGCAUUCAGUCUAUCUGCUCCUGCUCUAGGGUAGAAGUCCUCAACUGCCACUUCUCAGGACAAAAUCACCAUGGUGCAUGGAAGAAAUGAGUAAACGGACCUGCAAAUAUUAGAUUUUUCUGACUCGUUCACUUGCCUCCUCCUCCUCCUUCCCAUAAAUGGCCUUUUUUAUUUUUAAGGUCUAUGUGCAAGCAGUUAUUUUUUUAAAAAUGAUCAUAAACUUCCCUUUUCAAAGGAGUCUAAAAUGCAUUUCAUAUUUGUCUUUGUUUUCCUUAAACCUUGAACUCUUUGGAAGGGAUAUGUAAUGUGAGAUGGCAUUGUUAUAGUUUGGAAAUUGUAUUCCUCUUCUUCUUCAACUCAAAAUAACUGUGCCUUCAGAUCCUGAAAACUCACUAGUUGUCUUCAUUUAUUUUUAACCCCACUACACCUUAUGUACCUUAAUCAAUAGGAGUUCAGAGUUUAUCCUCUUGUUUUUGCUGCAUUUCACGUCUUCAAAAAUCAACAACUCUGUCACUGCAUUCCAGACACAUAAAGCCAAGUUUAAGAAAUAAUGUAAAUUGGGAUUUUUUUUCUCUACUUAACAAAAUUUACUUUAAAAGUUGCAGGUAAAAUAACCCCAGAUCAAUCUGUUACAUGGAAAUGUUAUUUUAUGUUUAUAUGGCACUUUUUGUUUUCACUGGGUUUGAAAUUACAAAAUUGACAUUCCAUUCCACGGUGGUAGUGAAAUGCAUUUUCAAAGGAAGAAACCAAAGCCCUGAGGUGUUAAGUAUCCUGUCUGUAGUUGCACAAUGAACAUGGCAGAGACAAAAUUAGAACUCAGUUUCUAAGUUUUAUUUUCUUUCAUCUAUCUCUCUUUUACAUAUUAAAUUCUCAAAUUAGAAGUGCUAUGUGCUUUCGAAUUUAAUUUAGACCCCCAAAAAAUACUUGUUCUGUGAUACACUUAUGAUUACUUUUCUGUAGUCUAAGUGAUUAUUUUCAAAAAGUUUAAAAAAAUAGUUAGAAAUAUGAAUGAAACAGGAAUGCAAAUAGAGCCUCCAAACCGAUAGAUUUUAUGUAGUCAAACAAAAACCCUCAUGGAAGUUUUGUUACAAAUUUUGUUCCAAGAACUGAUCUUAUUCCUCUGGAACUGACAUAAUAAUACAUUACUAAAUGGUCUACUUUAUUGUGAAACUUGAGUCUACCACAUGGGAUAGAUCAUUUAAAUCCUUGAACUUAAUAACUUAAGUUUUCUUGAACAUUAAGGUAUUCAGUGACUACUCUCACAGGCUUACUAGGUAAUGAAAAGUUUAAUCUUUAGCUGAAUCUUCAGUCAUAUAAUGUGUAGUCAGAUAAGAAAUGAAUGAACAACUAAAUAAGUAAUGAACCAGUGACAAAAUGAAUGAAUGAAACUGAAAAGCAAAGGCUUUAAUGAAUUCAAAUUCACUAUUAUGCUUUUAUGCUUAAUACAUUAUAGAAUUCAAACAAAAAUGGAAAAAUCUCUAGGAUAUCAAUUAUUCAAUUAUGCCAGAGUUAUUCAGCUGCUUUAAAUCAUUAUAACCUUCUUAUGUCUAUGAUGUUAUACAAAGGAGAAAAUUCAAAUGGAAAAAGAUACAUGGGAAAAAAGUAUUUAUUUUAAUAUUAUACAUUAUGAUCCCAAAUUUGAAGCCCAAGAGAUUCUCAACAUUUGGGAAUUUGUUAAGCAAAUACAUUCCCGAGAUGAAAUUUUUUACAGCUACUUAAAAUAUUGAUUAAAUCAAUAGUAGCAUGUGAUAAAGAAAAGAACAUGAGCUUUGGGAUCAGAAAAGUCUAUAAUUGAGUCCUCUGUCACUUCCAACAUGUUCCAAAUAUAAAGAAACACCUGGAAUCUCUGUGCCAUCUUAGAGUUUCUUUGUAGAAUCCUCCCUGACCUGUCAUAGACUACUUAUCCUAUUGUGUACAGAGAUUCAACACUAUGCUUGCUAAGAGACCAAUUUAAUUUUGAGUAGUCUGCCUAAACACUUAAGAAAGGAAUGAAUGGAAUCAAAUAGGCCAUGAACAAUAUAGCCACUUCCUAGUGGUACCAUAUUGGGUACAUUACUUCUUUGAAGCUCAGAUUUCUUGUCAAUAAAUUGCUAAUAAUAAUACUGUUUACCCAAUGGAUGAUAAAAUGGCAUUAUAUGUACUAGCACUGAGCUAGGUACAGAUUUGGUAUUAAGUACAUGGCAAUUGUUAGCAUUGUUGUUGUGUGCCUUAUGCUAAUCUAAAACUUUUACUCAAAAAUAUUUUAGUUGGUCAUUUAUGCCCAAAGCAUUACUUCUUAGUACACCAAACCCCUUCUAUUACCAAACCCCCAAUCCAACUGCAUGCCCAUUUUUCUUAGUAACAUUCCUUGUAUAAGCCAGCAUUUUUGCGGUUCUAGUCAGUUUCCCCAAACUGUGUCAAUUUCCACCCUGAGCCUUUCCUCCUGCUCAGCCCACAGACUGUCUUUUCUCCUUCUUCUGGAUUUUCCUGUUGAACCAUCCUUUUCCUUCAAGAUUUAACUAAGUGGAGCUUCCUGCUGGAAGCUUUCUAUAAAGCACUCAGUAUUUACUGUUUUUCCCCCGUUUUUUUUUUUUUUUGGCACUUUGUAUUUAAUAGAAUGCUUCACACUUUCCAUCCGUCAUUUCUAGGUCUGACUCUCUACAAUAUAUUAAACUUUUUGAAGACAGAAGCUAUUUCUCCCUUCAUUUUUUUGUAAUUCUUUUAGCAACUUAGUCACUUACACACAGUGGAUAUAUUUAAAAUAUAUGUCAGAUUAAAUUCAAGUUACUGAAAGAAAGAACAUUGUGUAACCCUUCGUGACACAGACGUGCCAUUUGAAGUACCCAUUUGAAUAUGAUUUUUCUAAUUUUUACAAAUUGAAUUUUUACUUACAUAAAGUUGCUUCUAAAAGGCUAAAUGCAUUGGUAUACUUGACACAGAAUUACUCCCCCCACAUUUCAUUUUAAUUUAUUGCACAGAUAGCUGUUGGGUACAGUUAUGUAGAUAAAAUCUUUCCAUUGGGGCUAGUUCAUGGACAAAGCAUAUUUGGUAAUUUAUAAGCUAUACCCUGGCUUGCUUAAAACAGUACCUGUAGUAUUUUGGGAAAUUUUUACUAGUUCAAGAGAGGGAGUGAUAAAUGAAUUGAUUUACCUGGUCGAUUUGGAAGAUUUAUGGAUCCUCUGCAAAGAAAAUAAACUCAAGAGUUUUCAAAUAUAAUAUCUCAUAAUUCCCUCUUUAGAAAGGAAGAAAUUGUAGGUCUUUAAAACUACAAGAGGAUGGUAAGAUUGGGAGAAAAGAAAGGCCAAAACUUGCCCUGAAGAUGAGUGUCAGUAGAUCUUUAAAGAGUUUCUAAUUUUAGCGUAAUUGAAAUAACAUUUUUUAAUAGCUUCACCCAUUGAUACAUAAUAUUAAUUAGGCCUCCAAAGACAAGAAAAGCUCCUCUUGUAGAUGCCUGAUUUACUCAUAUCUUUACAAACCUAUGAACUAUUUUUACAGGAAUCUCUGUGUCCUCUUAGAGUUUCAACUUGAAAGAUUUAAACUAAAAAAUUAUUUGUGUGUGUGUGUCUCUCUGUCUCUUUUUCUCUGUAUGUCUCUCUCACAAACACACACACAAUAAUCUUCUCACGAAAAAUGUACACUCAAAUGAAUGGUGUGUUCCUUUUUGACAAAAACUUUUGCUAAACUCUGUUGUAAAACAUUCUAAAACGGCUAGUGAUAUCCACCUGCUGACAAGGAGUCACUGUAGUCAAUAAUCCAAUCAAACACUCAAAAUACUUGACAAUAAUCUUAGGAUUUUUAAAUAUUCUGAUUAUUUUCACUUGGUAGUUUAUACUGAAUAUUACCAAGAACCAACUUGAUAGGCCCGGUGCAAUGGUUUACGCCUGUAAUCACAGCACUUUGGGAGGCCAAGGUGGGCAGAUCACCUGAGGUCAGGAGUUUGAGACAAGCCUGGCCAACAUGGUGAAACCCUGUCUCUACUAAAAACACAAAAAUUAGCUGAGUGUGGUGGCAGGCGCUUAUAAUCUCAGCUACUCAGGAGGCAGAGGCUGGAGAGUCACUUGAACCCGAGAGGCGGAGAUUGCAGUGAGCCAAGAUUGAGCUACUGCAUUCCAGUCUGAAUGACAGAGCUAGACCGUCUCACAUUAAAAAAAAAAAAAAAAAAAAAUUCUACUUGAUUAAAAAAACAGUGGCUUGACUGGGCAGGCACAGUGGCUCAUGCCUAUAAUCCCAGGACUUUGGGAGGUCAAGGUGAGUGAAUGGCAAGGUCAGGAGAUCAAGACCAUCCUGGGCAACAUGGUGAAACCCUGUCUCUACUAAAAAUACAAAAAUUAACUGGGCGUGGUGGUGCAUGCCUGUAGUCCCAGCUACUCAGGAGGCUGAGGCAGGAGAAUCGCUUGAACCCAGGAGGUGGAGGUUGCAGUGAGCAGAGAUCACGCCACUGCACUCUGGCCUGGAGACAGAGCUAGACUCCAUCUCAAUCAAUCAAUCAAUCAAUCAAUAAAAAUAAUGGUUAUAACAAAGUGGCUAGGCUUGACAGAGUUUGGCAAAGAAAACCUAUCAAAUUUAAAAAUUGUCAGGGUCAGAGUAUACUUUGAAAAGUAUUUAUCUGUUUGUAUUCAGUGGUGAACUUAAGCAAUCCAUGAGAAUUUUGUAAGUCAGCAUAAAGUCUAAUUCUCUUUCUUCAGAAAUGGAGAAAAACUUGUUUAAAUAUUACAUAUUUUUCUUUAAAAAAAGAGACAAAGUAGUUUCCAUUGAAUCUUAGUUUAGAAGUCUUGUCCGACUGUAGAAGAUUCUAGAAUGCAUAUUAAAAAUCUGAUCUUGUCUAUGAGCCCCUUCCCUGUUUCACUCCAUGGUUCUCUCCAACCCCACUUUCCAAAUAUUCUCAUCAUGUCUACUUUACCCAAGAAGACUAAUCUUUUCACCCUUCUCUGAAUAUGCAUUUUCAUUACUUUCCACCUUGCCAAAUUCCAAACUACUUUUAAAUAUCUAAAAUUCUAUCAUUUCCCAUGGAGACUUAUUCGCUAUUACAAACAAAAUACACAUAUAAACAAAUAACUAACAUAAAUAAAAUCUGCCUUAACUAUUACAAAACCAUUAUUAGGAUUAAAACGCAUUUACUAAAUAACAAUCAAACAUAAUUUUAGGGCUAGUUUAAUGGCAAUUAUAUUUAAAUACAUAAUUUUAAAAGUCUGUUGUGACUCUUAACACCAACCUCUAAGAAAUUAAGACUAUUAUUAUCACAAUAGUGUAUAUAUAAUAUGAUUAACAAGAGACUUGCUAAUUAAUAAAAUUCCAGUUUUUUUUUUUAAAAGAGUCAAGCUAUUAUCAGUGUACUAAAUAAUAAGAGUAAGACAUGUUCACAAAUAAAUGUGGAUUAUUUGCCUAUCUUAGAACUUUCUUCUUCACUCUACCAGCUCAAAUCUAGAUGAGAAACUUGUUCUUAGUUCCUGUAGAAGAAUAAAGCCUGGCACCCAUUUUUAGUUUAGCAAGCUGGUGGUGACACCGAGACAGCAUUUUUCUAUAGCGUUUUCACAGCAUAUGUUGCAUGGAUCACACACUAAAUGUUUAUUUUGUAAUUUACAGUCUAGAGGAGUUAUGAGAAAAGAAACUGGGUAAAAAGUAUUAGAUCAAACUUUGAUAACAAUAAGUUUAAGUAAGAAACUAACUUGUGAAAAUUACAUGUUAGCUGGGCAUAUUUCAAGGUAUCUGUUGGGAAACACUAAAGCAAGUUUUUUUCUAAUAUUUACCCCCCGACCCCCUUUUUUCUUUUAGCUGAAUUGUUAUGGGAAGACACUUUUGUUUUUUUUUCUGAAUAAGUAUUUGUGUGACAGUUUCUACUGCUGUGGGUUCAGUUGACAUUCUGUCAUCAAUAAUAAAAAUUCUUGAACAUUUUUAGUCUUACAAAUCUAUCUUCACUCAUAUUAAUAUACAUAAAUUGUACAUAUAUAUGUAAAUUGUCAUAUGUUACAGAUGCUUUAGAAACAUUGCAUAUUUGAAUAACUAUAUGUACAUCACAGGACCACAGGAUUCUGGAAUACAUGUGAAUUCAAAUCAUUAAAACAUUUAUUAACUGAAAACUCAGUCAUGAAUUUGCUUAUGAAGAAUACCUUAAUAUUAUAGUAGAGAACAGAGUAUGAGAGUUGCUUAAUUUUAGUCCAAUUUUAAAACAAUGAUAUGUUUAACUAGCUCCUUACUUUUAAAUGAUAUGUUCAUAAACUUAAGCAAUGUUCAUUCACAAAUUUUUUCUUAUAAAUUUAACUUUCCCUCUACUAAUCAAGAAUAUAAGUUAGUAGACUCUAAUUAUCUUUGGAUUGCUUGGUUCAUAUAUUUAAAAGGAGAGAUUUUUUUUUAAAUGGCGUUUGCUCUGAAAGUAAGGAUGUAUUUUAAGGAAGAAAACUUGGGAUUUACAUUUUGUAAGUAAUAGUAUUGGAAGAUGUAUAUCAGUAUUUUAAAAAUUCCUUAUAAAAUGGGCAUAUUCCAGAAGGAAACAACAUUAGAUCUUUAUUCUACAGGAGAUCUCUAGAGGUUGUGUACCUCUCUAGACCCCCUUCCUCCACAUCCCACAGUGAGUUAAUAACCAGUGGUGUAAGAGCAUGCAGAUCACCUGCCUUUUGGGUAGGUAUAAAUUUUCAUAACCCUGAAAUUCUUAAAGGUAAUCCUCACUAUAUUGAAUAUUUUAUAAUUUAUUAAAUUGCAUUUCUAACUGUUCCAGACCAUGUUUCUAUAACCUGUGUACACAGUGAUUGACACAUAAAAAUCAGUCAUGUUUAACAAGUACAUGAACCUAAACAUCUUUAUGUGAAUUUAAUAUCUAAUUGUGAAUUGCUGCUCACCUCGUGAUCACCAUCUGUCAAUCAGUAUGAACUGAGAACUAUACAUUAUUACUAUUUAUUGGUUCAAUCUUUUUCAAGGCACAAUGCCUAAGGAAGUAACCGAUUAUUGGUCCACUGUAAUUGAAAUGCCCACAUAUUUGAAAAAGAUGGCUAAAUAAUGAAAAUAACUUGUUUCUCUGUAUAUUGACUUAAGAAAGAAAAGUAAAAUGCUUUUGUGAUUCACUUAUAUAUUGUUUUUCUAACCCCAAUAAAACCCGACUUGAGAAGUUUGUCAGACAUAUAUAUUUCUUUCCCAAAUAGUUAUUUUUUGAUGGCUUUUGUGAGGAAAAUGAUGCAUUGGAAUUGAUAUAGUGUGCAUAAUAUAAAUGCCAAUAAUACAUUUACUCUUCUAGAUUUUUAUUUGUUCUGAGUUUUUCCAAUUAUUAUGGAGGGCUCUUGACAUCAAAGAUUGACAGCCUCAGUUUUUGUUUUGGGGAGUCUUAGCUGUUGCCUGGUGUGGAGUUACAUGCUUCUAAGAUAGAGCAGAAGUUGUUGCUGCUCGUGGGUUUCUCCCCUGCUUGUGCCAGAAUCACCUCCCUGCAAGACUGCAUAUGGAACUUUCCUAACCCACAUUUGUUUCUCCCAGGACUCUGACUCCUUUGAGGGAUUUGCCUGCCUAGCUUGAUGGAGGUAUUCCAGCUCUGCUUUCUUUCAGAUAGUAUUUCUUAUUCGUUUUUAUCUAAAUAGAGGAUUAUAUUAACUAAACAUGAUUGAACUUGAGAUAUGAGUAGGUACAUUUCUAGUAUCUGGUUUUGUUACAGGUUCUUAUGGUUGAUUUUCUGCCUGUAAUGUAAUACUUUAAUACAACUGUCUUUAAAUAGCAACAACUCCUAGGAAGAAGUUUUGAGGAAACCUAUGCAAGUUCUUUUGGAAAGAAAUUGGCAUUUCAGUGCUUAAUUCAAUUAGCAACUCAUAAAGUCUAUAUUGACUAGGAUGCAAAUAGCCUUUAUAAGCAUUAAUUUCAUGACAUGAACAUUUUGUACAAGUGAAUGUAGAGUUUGUAGAUCCUUAGGCAAAUCUUCACUGUCAGUUGAAUUUAUUUAAAGAGCUGUUCUGGUCACCUUUGAACCUCAAUGAUUUCUCCAGAUGUACAGAAGUGAACAAUGUAAAAAUCUUGCUGUUUCAGCAGAACUGAUUCCAGCUGGCUGGGAACUGGAUCUGCAAGUCAUUGGUUACAGCUGUGUUUCGAUUUAUGUGAUGGUUGAAAAAAUAAAUUACCCGAUUAGAUGGCUAGAAAGAGGACUCUUUGUUUAGCCCUUGUGUGGGGACUGAAAGUGUUUAUGGUGCUGUUUUCUACGCAGUCUUUGCAAAGUAAGCUGGACAAAUAGACUUAUUCAGUGCUUCUAAGAAAUGUUGCAUAUUCAGCUUUAAUUAUUUACUAAAGAAACUGUUUUUUUUUUUAAUAGUGCUGUCAUCCAGCAAAUGUUUUAAAGGUCUAGCAUUUAAGAGAAGCAGUACGUUUUCUGUCCUACUGAGCACUGCAUUUAGUAAUUGAAAAGCAGUUUUCUUUUGUUUAAUGUGUACUUUAAAACAUGUCUUUGUCAGGCACAAGAAUGGGAAUACACUUUCUCUUAAAUUCAAUCCUUUAUAAUGGCAAAGUAUCUGAACAUAAGUUCUACCUUAACCCUUUUCCUUAGUGAGUUAUGGCUAAUGGCACAUAAGAGAAAAAUACAUUAAAUUGUUAUAUAAAGAAAUAUAGUCAAACAUUACUGUAAAAAGUUAACAUGCCUAUGGGCCACUUGGGCUAUGAGGCUUUUGAAUUUGUGAAUGUUUUGUUAUCCAAGUUUUAUAUGGAGAGUUUGUAAGAGUGUUAAUCAGCAUGUAACUUUCUAGGCCAGUCAAAAUGCUAACUCUUGGAACUCUGGUGUACAGAGUCUAACAAAAUACCUUCCCAAAGAGACUAAUAUGCUAACAUUAUCUUGGGUGAGGGGUUGUUUGUUCUCUUGCAUUAUUUUUCCGAGGUAGCUUCACUUGGAUCAUUCUGAAGCUGUCAGAACCAAUAUAUUGUUUGUAGUUCACCCAUUUCCAAUGUGUCAUUUUAAAAAGUGAGUGGUGGCUCCAGAAAAGAUAGCUACAAUGUCUUCAUCAUUAUUUUCUCAAACGCUGAUUUGCUAAAUGAUUUCAAUAUUUUUUGGAAGUUUUUUUUUCUUUAUUGCUUUCUAAACUCCUGAAAAGGGCCCACAUUCUUCAGUGAACUUGAAACUGAGGCCAAGCACUUGACCAGGUGUCACAAGGUCCCCUGAGUUCAGUAGCAGUUCAGUGUGGGGAACACCCAGGAAUAUGUUAUAUUUUCCAAGAAAAUAGAAAAUUCUUUGUCUAUUAUCUUUCUUAAACAGCUAUAUAUUAUAGAAUUUAAAGAUGCAGAAUAAAUAAGCAUAAUGAUCUAAUAGGAGACAAAGGUGGGAUUGAUCUGUCUUGAAUUGAAAGACAGUUUUGCUAUGUUAGGCUAUUUCCUUGAUCAAUGAAAUUAUAUCUUCUAACCCUUAACAAAAUCAAUACAAUUGAUUGGAAAAGGUAGGAACAAAGCAUGAGAAUGUGGAAUACACUUGAACCUUCAUUGUUCAGUAAUAUUUAAAUGAUGUUCAUAAUGCUUAGAAGCAUUUUCCACUAACUCCAUGUAAUGGAAGCUUCCUUAAUCUAGAUUAAAGACCUGAGUAAUAGAGUUUGAGAAUAUGCUAUAAUGACAUCCUUCAUGGAAUAACAUGUCUUUGUAAAAGUUAAAAUCAUUUCACAUUACUUAUACUUCUAAAAGUGGGAACAGUUUCUAUCACUCAGCAUAGAGAGAGCAAAGUGAAAUUCAAUCUUGAAAAGAAUGUGUAUAAAUUAUUUUAAUAUGAAAAACUUAGGAAAGAAAAAAGUAUCUAAAAGAGAGAACACUUUUUAAUUUAAAAUAAUUUACUCUAUAUUUUGUGCUCCUGCUAACUGUCAUGAUCAGUAGAUAAAGCAUUUUUCUCAUGAAAAGAACCCUACAAAAUUAGCAUAUUUUUAACAUCAAAGAAAACUCUAAAAAUCUAGAAUAAAAAUGAUUAUGCACAGUCAGUAUAACUAUACAUUAAUAACUUUAUUCCCCUUUAAUUAAGCAGCACUUGAAAAUGAAUAUUUUUUAAAACCAAAAAGUUUUUGCAAGUUGAUGGAGAAUUUUUAACCUAUGAUUUGCCUGUUUUUCUGGUUUCCUUUGUAUUCCAAAUUUCAAAAAUCCACUUAAGAAGGUUUUAUAAACUAGAUACCUUAUCCUGACAGAUUUUAAAUGCUUUAUUAAAGCUAAAGUAUGUCUAUUUGAUCAAUGAACCCUAAAAUGUUUUUUUAAUCCACAUAGGCUAAUUUUUACAGUCUUCCAAAGAAAUUAUGAGGUUUUCUCCCCUGUGUCUGUGUCAUAACUGUGCAUAUACAUUUUUAAAUCUUAGAAAAUUACUAUCUUUCUAGUUCUAAGAUGAAAAUAUUUUAUAUAGUAUUUCAAAUAAUUAAAAAUUUCAGCAGAAAUAAAGUAAUCCACAUAAAAGAUCUACUAUAACAUUUUGAAAUCGCCAUAUUAUACUAUUAUACAGUUACUAUGAAAUGAUACAAUUGCUUUUUUUUUUUUUUUUUUGAGAUGGAGUCUCGCUCUGUUGCCCAGGCUAAAGUGCAGUGGGCAUGAUCUCGGCUCACUGCAAACCCCUGCCUCCCAGGUUCAAGCAAUUCUCCUAUCUCAGCCACCUGAGUAGCUGGGACUACACGUGCACACCACGAUGCCUGACUAAUUUUAGUAGAGAUGGGAUUUCACCAUAUUGGUCCUGACCUCAGGUGACUGACCCGCCUCAGCCUCCUAAAAUGCUGUAAUAACAGGCGUGAGCCACUGCACCUGGCCUGAGAUCAUACCAAUUUUCAAAAUUCAGCUAUGAGGUGAGAUAUCACAGAGAUAUAGAAAGAGGGUAUGUCAUUAGCCUUUCUGGGGAAAAAUGCUACUGGACAGUUAUUGUGAGGAUUAAAUUAGAUAAUUAUAUAAACAGAUAUCUAAAUAGUAGAUAGUAAUUACCAACAUAUGUUUUCAAUUGUACUGCCCUUCCAUUGCACAGGAUUUUAGGGCUGAAUUAGGCUUUGGAGAUAAGCUAGUCCUCUCUCUUUAUUUUAAAAAAUAAGAGAACUAGGCCAGGCAUGGUGGCUCAUGCCUGUAAUCCCAGCACUUUGGGAGGCCAAGGCAGGUAGAUCACCUGAGGUCAGGAGUUCGAGACCAUUCUGGCUAAUACGGUGAAAUCCUGUGUUUACUAAAAAUACAAAAAAACUAGCUGGGUGUGGUGGUGAGCACCUGUAAUCCCAGAGACUUGGGAGGCUGAGGCAGGAGAAUUGCUUGAACCAGGGAGGUGGACUUUGCAGUGAACCGAGAUCUCGCCAUUGCACUCCGGCCUGGGCAACAGAGGGAGACUCUGUCUCAAAAAAAAAAAAAAAAAAAGAACUAAGGUUCCAAAAGUUAAAUGACUUAUCUAAGAUGAUAAACAUUAUUACUUACACAAGUGGUAGUACAACCAGUUUUUCUCACUCUUAAAUCAGUUAUUUUUCUACUUCCUCACUUGGUUUCAUGGUGUUGUACAUAGCCUACCAUAUGGGAAAAAUAGUGUUUUUCUAUAGUUAUGUUACUUAAAACAUAAAUUUUUAUAUUGAUCCUGAAGUAUAAUAUUCAAAGUACAACAGUAACUCUGAAGUCAUUUGAAGCCCUCUCAUUUAUAUUCAUUCUUUAAAAACCAGGAUUAGUUAUUUUCUCUCUCACCUGUUAGGAAGCACAUCAACACAGCAGAAACAUUUACUUAUUAGUAUGUACAAAGUGGAAAACUAUUGAAAAAUACUCUUCCAGAUUUGUGUAUCUAUAUAUAUUUUUGAGACAGAGUCUCUGUCACCCAGGCUACAGCGCAAUGGCGCGAUCUCAGCUCACUGAACCUCUACCCCCAGGUUCAAGCAAUUCUCCUGCCUCAGCCUCUAGAGUAGCUGGAACUACAGGUGUGCACCACGACGCCCAGCUAAUUUUUGUAUUUUUAGUAGGAUGGGGUUUUGCCAUGUUGGCUAGGCCGGCUUUGAACUCCUGACUUAAGGUGAUCCACCUGCUUCGGCCUUCCAAAGUGGUGGGAUUACAGGCGUGAGCCACCAUGCCCAACCUCAGAUUUGUAUAUAAUUUGUUAGAAUAUACUUUUUUGUGCUCUCCAAAUUUCCUCUCAUUAUCAUUCCCUGCCUUUUCCCUGAGAGAGAAACACUCCACCAGCAUCCUCAAGACCUACUUGUUCCUAUGUGUGACUGAACAACAACGUUCAUGUCACUUUCAGCUCAAGACCUCCCUCAAGUUCUUCUUGCUCUGUUCCCUCAUCUCAGUGUCAUCUCUGUAGUGUACUUUGAAUGAGGUCCCCUUGUGGAUACUGAUGACAGACAAACUGAAUGGAAAGUGGGUUGUACACUUCUAGAGAGCAGAAGAAGGGAGGGUGAGAUGAAAGAAAACAGGGGAGAGGGGGCAUGAAAAAGUGAUUACUACAAUGAAUUACAAUCACUAUUUUUUGUAUAACUAAAUACAAGAAUGAACAUAGAUUUUUAUAUGCCAGGAUCAUUCCUAAAAGGAAGAGAAAUCUCUGUCAUGAUUUGUUUUUCCUUGAUAGUUCUGAUACUCUACAUUUAUAUAUAUGAAAAGAAAAAGAAAGAAAGUAAUUUUGGGUUGACAGACUAUUGCAUCCCAGUCAUAAAGUGCCUGAAUUAGCACUGAGUCAUUCUCUAGUCCAAACACCAAAAUCUUAAAAAAAUAUAUAGGUCAAGUUUAUUUUUUCCUGGUUAAAAACCAGUAUCUUUGAUCAUGAAAUUUUUAAAGUAAUAACUCAUAUAAAUUUACAUUUUACUUUAAUUUUGCUUAAACUAAUUCUAGAAUCUGAAUUGUACAUGAAAAUUAUGUUGCUAACGUGUACACACACACACACACACACACACACGCACGCACACACCUGUGUGCGCUGACAAACAGACUCGUCUCAUUUGGGUUUUUUUCUCAGCCAAUUACAUAGAAAAUUCCCAAUCAGGGCCAGGCUUGGUGGCUCAUGCCGAUAAUCCCAGCACUUUGGGAGGCUGAAGUGGGCGGAUCACAAGGUCAGGAGUUCAAGACCAGCCUGGCCAACAUGGUAAAACCCAUCUCUACUAAAAAUAUAAAAAUUAGCCAGACGUUGUGGCAUGUACCUGUAAUUCCAGCUACUCAGGAGGCUGAGACAGGAUAAUCACUUGAACCCAAGAGGCCAGGGUUACAAUGAGCCAAGAUCACACCCUUGUACUCCAGCCUGGGUAACAGAGGGAGACUCCAUCUCAAAAAAAAAACAAAAAAGAAAAUUUCCAACUAGAUCAUCCCAGUCCAUCAGCAUCUGAUUUUUAUCUUACUGCCCUUUAAUUACUCUUCUUUGUUUAAACAACGGCAAAGUAGUUUUGUCUGCUCCUAAUUGCUGAUUGCUCCUCAUUUUAACAGGAUUUUUAGAAAAGAUUUUCUUUUGAAUUUUUGCUACUCACACUGCUAUUACAUCACUUCUUUAUUGAAAACAGAAAUAUGUAAUAUGUGUUAUUUGGCUCUAAAAAGAGAAUGACUCUCAUUUCUGGAAAGGUUAGAAAAAUAAACACCUCAUUUAUUCAGAGACUUUAGCUUCAGUAGUUUUCUGUGUCUUCUGAUAGUUUUGUUAUCAACUGUUUCGAAGUUAGUAUUUAUGUACCCUUUUUCCUUAAGUAAUCAUGCAUAUUUCCAGACUAUGAGUAAAUAAAAACAAUAGAUACUCUUCAGUCAAAAUGAAGUCUCUUGAUUUUAGAUCUUUGAAUAAAUCAACAUAGUUUAAUUCUCUUAAAAGAGACUUGAAAGAAACUAUUGGGAUCCAGUAAUCAGUUAUGUUAUAAUACUUUUCACAAGGAAAAUUUAAGUCAACACUCUUCUAUAAAACUUUCUGCAGGGUUUAAAAUGUUUUAUAUUCAGGUUGUUCACAGUAGUGUCUACCACCACAUGCCCUGCUGCACAUUUGAAAUAUGGCUAGGGCAACAGAAAAAAAUUUGUUUACUUUAAUUUAUAUUUAAAUAGCUACACGUGGCUGGUCACAGCUUCUUGGAGAAUGGAGGCUAAAUAAAACAAGAAAAUAUACAAGUGAUAAACAAUGUAUUCUGCACAUUCAUGAAUUUUGAGUCAAAAUUUGAACUGUAGUUUUUUUGGUUUUUUUGGUUUUUUUUUUUUGUCUUUUGUCUUCUUCUUACUCCAAAAGUCACUAAGGAAUACAAAUAUCUUCCCCUUCUCAGUACUGAUUUCAAAUGGCAUUUAUAAGAAAUAAAAGGUUCCUGCCUUUGUAGUAAGGUAGAAGGCAGGUUGUAUGAAAUUGUUUCAGAGUAGUUAGCUAUUACUUCCUCUAACUGAAAAUAUUUUUGGAUGUAAAUUCAGAUCUAUCUUGCUUAUCUUAUAGAAAGUUAAUAGAACAAAUCUCCAAAAACAUAGAAUAAAUCUCCAAAACAUAAAAAUGGUUGGUCUAGCAAGGUAAUAGUUGCAUUAUGUGAUUUAAACUAAAUGUAAAAUAGCAUCACAAUUUUACUUUAAAUAUUUUAGCCAUAAUCAAAGUAUAAACUCUAGUUGAGGAAUGCUUUGUGUUGAUGAUAAGAAGUUCAGAAUUAGAGGAGACCUUAAACCUGUAUAUAUGAGAGUGGUAAUUGAACUGAUUGAUUACAACAUCUUCUUUCCAAUAAAUAUUGAUUUAAUCAAAAUCUGCAUUUCCAUUGGCCUCAGUGGAAGUCCUAGCAGAAGCCUGGGCACUCAGACCUGGCUACCCUCUAUCUGGAUGUAAAUAUUUUUAACGCAUGGCCAUUCAGUUAUAAGUAUGAUUUUUUUGGAAAAUAUUUAUUCCUCUUGAUUUUCUAGACUGCUCAGUUAACAUUGUUAAGCCUUCUGUAAAGUUAAGGCCUGUGUGUGUGUCUAUCUCUGUAUGUAAUAAAGGGACAGCAUGGAUUAGGGGGAAAAAAGGUUGUAUUUGCAUUUGUUGUUUCUGAUUCACAGAGCUAGGAGUACAGUGCUCAUAUAGAGUCCACAGGGCUAGGAUGUCAGUAGGCAGUUGCUGUAAGCUCAUGUUCAAUUAUUAAAAUAGUAGACAUUUUAUGUCUGAUAGCCAUAGCGAGGUCAUGACAUUAAUUUAUCCAAAGUAUUGUGGGCGACUGUCUAGAAAAAUAAAUAGCGUAAAGGACACAGAUGCCAGAAAGCUGAAGAAGAAAAAAAAAAGUUGGGUCUGAGCAAAGAGUGAUUAAGAGAUGACCAAUUUAUUUAAUCCACGAAGGACAGGAAGAAGUCAGCAGGUGUCUCGAUGUUAAUGACAAGUAUUUUGAGCUAUGCUGUGCAUGUGUUAAUUUUUGUUUUAGUUUUUCAUUAGAUUCUAAGCUUGUUGAAUACGAUUCCUAUUCCACGUCAGAAAGUUAAUUUCAUAUUUUACUGUUGAUUCAAUGCUGAGGGAUUCUUUGCUAUCUGUUUCUUUCUCUCCCUUUUUCAUUCUUCCCUUUUCUCUUCCCAUUUCUGUGUUUCCCUUUCCUCUUCCCUCUGUUACUAUUUUCCUCCUUGCCAUUGGCUCUCAUGAGAGUAUAUUCUUAAUUCUGUUUCCUUCUGGUGCCAACUCCUUUAUCUGUUUUUGUUGUUGUGUUUGAGAGGUUUCUUUUUCCUUUUUUUUUCAAAUCGGGAGCCUGUAGGAACUGAUCUUAGAGAUACAUACCCACGACUGAUGCUUCUGUCUCUUUAUGGGUUGUGUGAUAUUUUCAUUGGAACCUCUGAGAAUGGUUGUCCUUCUUGUUUGUUGCCACAGAUCUGUUGCCAAUCUGCUACCUUAGUUGAGCCUGCAGUGCUGCACUGCAUGCUGGGAUCUGUCUGUGUGAGUAAACUGAAAUUUCUACAGCACCAGGCAGCGUUAGAGUUGGCUUGAGAAUUGCCGUACUUUGCUUCUCUUUGUAUGUAUUGCUUGUAUGCUGCAGAGUCACUGAUGGCUAGCUCUAUCUGGCAAGUAAUUCAGAAAUGCUGUUCAUGUAGAAAGGAAAGGUAGGCACUUUACCACACUCUGUCAAUAAAGAGAGCAAUUGAAGAACAAAGGAACCGAGUAAAUACCUAUAUAUUGCCUUUUAUGUUGUGAAACACUGUAGCACAAACACAACUGUGUUCAGCCAAAUGUUUCACUUCCUUUUGUACUAAUGCAUAUAGUAGAUUGUCUCCACAUAUGUACAAGAUUCUAUAUUUUAUUUAAACAUAUGUAGUCAAUUGUUCAUAGUUACAGGGUGCAAACAUAUCCCAAUCUCAAAGACUGUUACAUAUUCACUCCCACACAGCUAUUUUUUAUUAUUUUUUUAAAGUUCUUAACUUAAAAAAGAUAUAUACUAAUAUCUCUGUUGGUUGAUUUUGUUAAGCAACUAAGGAUUUCCACAGAGUUUAAAUCACAUCGAUGACUCAGAUCCUGGCAGGUCUUAUAAUUCCUGUGAAAUGACAGCACGGCUAAUAAAAAUAUUAAGCAAUUAUUUUUAUUAAAAUCAUAGGGAUUUUUUUUCAUUAUCACAUAGAAAUGAUUGAUCUAUGCAGAUUGGUCUCACUCGUGUGUCUCGUGGGCUGUUUGGGGCUUCAUAUAGAAGUGGAAAGUUCCCUUUGCUCUUCCUUCGACUAAGGUGGGGAAAAUGAAGGCAUAGAAUAAACUCUAGGGCUGUUAAAGAAUUGCCGGCAUUACUUCUCUCUGUCACGUGUGAGCCUGGCUGCCUGCUUCCUGAGGUAGGGGAUCCAGGAUGAGACUGUGACAGAGCCUGUUUCCACAACUACAUUUGGAGAUCUGUCUUAUUGAUUAGGGGGAGAAAGGGGUGGGGAUCAGGAGUGUGAGGUGAGGGGAGGACCAGCUGACAACUGACUCAUUGAAGCACAAGACAUUUUCUUCCGGAAAGAUGUUAACCCACUGAGAAACAGCCAGAAAGGAAGUAGAAAGGUGGAAAAAUGAGGAGACCCUGGAAGAAAUGAAGGCAUUUCUUAUGAGAGAGCCUUGGGGCUUUUUCCUUUUCUUUUUUUCUCUCUUUUUUUUUUUUUCUUCAAUCAUCUGACCUGCAAAGGCUAGAGUGACAGCGUCAUGCAAAUGCUGCAGUCCAGCAGGUCUGGGAGAGGGUGGAUGCUAGACUGUGAGUUAAUGUUAAUGAUGAGCGCAGUGAAAAUACCAGCCGCUGCCACCCCCUGCUCACAGAAGCGCUCUGAGUCAGCAUCAGAUGCUUUGCCUCGCCUCUCGCUGUGUGUCUGUAUGCCUGUGCGCGCGCGCGUGCUCGCUCGGGCAUCCGUGUCUAGCCGAGGGGAGGGGGUGGCGUGUGAGUGCGUGGAGGGUAAAAGCCAGUCAGUCAGUGAGAAGCAAAGAUCAACCACUUCAGAAGAACCAGAUUCCACUUCUGUGGCCAGGACUUUUAUGUUAUGGCUGGUCCGAUUGUUUUACCCUGCGUUCUAUGCUACUAAACCUUGGAUAAUUCCUAAAGUACAAAUUGUUCUCGAACCACAAACAAGGCUAAAAGAUCGGAGGAAAUUCAGUGAAUAUACAGGAUUGGGGUUGUGUAUUUUCAAAAGUACUGAGCUUUAUAAUUCAAUUAUUCAAGAAGUAGAAUCAUGUUUUUUUUUUUAAUGAUGCUGCCAGCAUUUUAAAUUACAUGUUUAUUAAGUGGCAUUUCUCAAAUAACUACAGAGUAUGCGUGGAAAUAUUUGCUGUCUGAAUAGUUUGGAGAUUCAAAGAGAAAAAUCAAGCUUCAGAGGUAUUAAAUUAUGACAUGCAGAAAAGUUUUUGUUUUGUUCUUAACUGCAACGGUAUAUAUUUUAAUCCGAUUUAAAGUGUUAUAUGUCCUGGGCCCACCUUAACAGUUGUGCUGUAUAGCAAUGUAAUGAGAAGCAAAAUUUCAAUUAGGGUCCCAUUAACUGGCAUAUAAUCCUUCUUUAAUGUGAUAGAGGCUAUGGUGUUGCCGUACAAAUCAAUUUUUAACCCAUUUUUAUUCUCUUUCUUUGGAUCUAAUGGGAUGACUCUUAACUGUUCAUUGUCUGCAUUGUUUCUCAUAUUCUUCAUUAUUUUAAGGUCUGGAAUUAGUCUGUAAAUAGUCGCCGUGAUCACUCAGCUCAUCCUAACUUCUAUAUAUCAAUAUAUAUUUCUACUUAUGUGUUUUAAAUAGUAUUUAGAGGUAAAAGCCUAAGUGAACCCAACUGUAAUUUCUGAGCUAUCCUUAUUUCUGGAAGAAGAAUUCUACUGCAUCAAACCAGACUUUUCCUAGUCCCUGAGACCCUAACUUGUGAGGUAUUUUAGUAACAUCACAAGUCAGGCUCUUGGGACCUAGGCGGAGGGGAACCAGCAGCUUUGGACCUUAUUGAUUGUCUGCAGUUACCACCAGAACAAAAGAACAUACAUAGAUUCUGCCUAGGAGAAAAGAACAAUGCUUUUCUUUAUCAUCAGCAAUGUUUUCACCAUGACCCACCCCCAAAAAUACAAUUGUCAGGAACUGUACUCUAAAGUGAUUGCACAGUCGCACUAAAAUAGCAUUUGUAUUAUAACAGUCAUACAAAAGCAAUAUAAGAAAUUGUGUAAGAAGCAAAAUUACAAUACAAGUGUUAAAAAAUGCUUCUUUUGGUACAUUUUAAGGUGGCUAGUGUAAGAGGAUAUCUCUUAAGUUAAUGAAGAAAGAGGAUUAUAUUUAUAACUUUUUUCCAUAUGCAUUGAAAUAUAUACAUUAGCUACUGAAAUAAAUUCUGUGUGUCUCCAUAUAACUAUGGCUUAAACUAUGUCAUAUACAGCUAUAAUCAUGCUUGAGGCCUAGAAAUAACAUGAUUUACAAUCUUCUUUAUUGACCCUAUUAGAUUUUACUACCGAUUUAAGAAGAAUGCUGCUCUAUACUUUGUAUUUAUUGCCAGGGUUUUCCUGAGUCUUGUAUCCAAACAACGUACUUUAUAUGUCUUAACAAUUCUGACAAUUCUCUUAUUAUGAGAGUUUAAGAGUGAAAGUUUCAUCAAUAAUUUGGGAAAAUAUGGUAUAUUUUCGUUUUUACAGUUUGCUGUGUACACAUCAUGGAUCUAUGUGAGAUAAAACAGUAAACACCACCUAGGAAGUCAAACUGCUUGGACUGGCAACUGCAUAUGAACUGCAUAGUUUUAGUUUUAUAAGAAAUUUAGUUUUAUCAGAGGUUACUAUUCCAACCAUAAGUAAUAUGUCACAUUUGAAUGUUUAAUAGCCAUUGCCACAUCAGAUAUGUCUUUCAUGGAAAUGGAAUCAGUAUACUAAAUCUAUUUUAAAAUUUUACAGUAAUGUUACAAAUAUCAAGAUUCAAAAUGGAGAUGACAGACUUUCCAUAAUAGAAGCAACAAAGUGGCUUCAUUCUUUUAACUAUUGCCUUAGAUGAGUGCCAUAAAUUACGUGUUUUCUGCAUUGUUAAAAUAAAUAUAUGAAUGUAUUUUAGAAUACUAUAUGGACUCUUUGUUCACAUUUUAAAAAAUUUCUUAUAAUACCUACUUGAAAUAUUACAGAAUAUAAAUCAUCUAUUAGUCAUAGUUAUUAAAAAUUAAUAUAACAAUAUCAUAAACAUGCAUCUAUAUAAAGCAUGCAGAGUAUGUUUAAGCAUGUAUGCACACUGUACCUAUUCAGAUUCUUUAUUUAUAUCAUCUACCUCAUUUAUCUAGAAGUUCUGAAAUUUUAGGUGUGUAUAUGUGGUAUGUGUGAAUAAAAGUUUUAAAGCUCCCAAUGAAAAGAGGCAAUAUAAACAGUAAAGAGUUUUGGUUGUAUUUAUCUUUUACUAAUUUUGAUCUCAUUCUCAUUGGAAUUGAGCAUUUUUUAAAACCAUAAGUUUCUUAAUACAAAGAAAUCUAUGCAUGUAUAUCUACAUGUACACAGAAACUUGAUUACAUUAAUAGCAAUGUUCACACAACAAAUUUGAAAGUACUUCUUAUAUAAAAUAAUAUCACAUACAAGUAUGUGUUUACUGACACCUGUUUUAACAUGAUUAUAAAUAAUAUCUAUAAGAGUUUCCAUCAAUUUAAUUCUAAAACAGUGUAAGAGGUAGAUGUUUAUUGGCUAUAGUGAUAUCAGAUAGAGGUUAUUGAAAUGUGAAAAUGUUUUAAUGUUAUCAUAUUCACGAACCACACUGUAUAUUAACUUCUGUCUCAUAAAAGAAAUAUCCCAAAGCUGAACUGAGAAUGCAAUGGUGUUUGUUCAUUUUUACCAUAAACAUAUAAAUUUUUUUUUUACUGAUAAUCCUACAUGAUUGGAACUUCUCUAUGUAACCCUCCUAUGAUAACUGUCUUUUGAGAGCCUCAUUGAUAAAGCUCUUCUCUUACCUCAUAAAGGUGUGUAGGGAUUUAAGUGGGUGACUUUGUUUAUAUAAGCUACUUUGUGCUGUAUGUAUAUAGACAGGUGCCACUUUUUCUGCAUUACUGUCUCUGCUGUCACAGAAUAAUAUUGUUUUAGGGCUUUAUGACAUGAUUUGGAAAAUCAGAUCAUACUAAGCUUAAAAUAAAAGAAGAGAUCUACAACAAAGAGCGAGAAAAUGAUGUGUGUUGCAUACAGAAAAAGCAGUGAUAUUAACAAUUCGAUGGCUUCCUGGUAGGGAGACCAGCCUGAGCCAGACGCAUAUAUUAAGGGCUGUCUGCUGCCGAUGUGAGCUUGCUCAAUGCGGUGGAAAUGAGGAAUCAUCUCCUUUCUGACACCAGCUUAUUUGUAUAUUUUAAUUUUGAAAUAGCAAAUUAUUGUUUUACAUAAAUAUACUAACCCUGCCUGAUUCAUUUUCUUUUCCAUAUUGUUUGUUAAUUUACUGUCAACUUCAACUUCCUUUUUUUAGCAAAAAAAUCAUCACUCAACUUAAACAUCUACCAAAGACCAAUGAAGUCUUUUUCUUUUGUCUUUUUUGUAUUGCUCUGACAAUAUUGUGAUACUCAUGCUUUUAACUUUUAAUCUCUGUAAGGAAAACAUCAAUUUUCCAAAAUAGCAUUUUUUAAAGGCUUUUAGGAUCCAUCCAGGAAGCCACUCUGGAAUUUUGCCAAAUCUAAAUAUGAUUUUAUUUCAUUUCAGAGUUCAUGGGAUCAAUAUCGUUUUCAGUGUAAAAGUCCCAAACAUUUUAGUAUUCCAGUGGAGCUACAGAAGAGGUGUAGAGAUAUUCUUAAAUCAUUUAGGCGUUAGGCUACAUUAAUAAUGCCUUGAAGAGAAAUAAGUAUCUCAGGGGAAUUAUAGUACAAGUUAAUUACUAAUGAAAUUAGGGUGUGUUCCACCUUAAACUCCUCUUCAAAUGGGCAUGCUGGUACAUGUGCCUAGGCUUGGUCUAAUACACCCUAAACAUGUAAACGGUUUUACAAGCUGUCAUGUUUGGAUGAGUCCUGAGAAAAGCAGUAUAUAAAGGGUUAGCUAACACCCAAAUUUUCUUGCCAUUUACACAUGCAAUGCAGCCUACAUUUCUGUAGGCAGCAAAUGCAGGCAUCAUUUUGAUUGCUUGGAUUCUUUUGUUUAAUUUUUUUACUAGACAUUUAACUUAGCACUCAAAUCCCACUGAUCCCUUAGAGACUGCAUUUGGAUCAGGAAAACGAAGUUCCUAAUAUAGAGAAGUUUAAAAAAAAUUCCUGGGCCUUUGUAAACAUUUGAAAAAUAGACUUUUAGUGUAGCUCUGGAAAUAACAUAUUCAGUAUGCAGAAACUUAGGUACCUAUCAUAUUCACAUUAUUAUCUAUCAUUUUCACAUUUCGUUUUCUUAUCUUUCAAUGACCAACUAAUACAGAGGGUCACAUAUAUAUCUCCUAUAUGUCCUUAGUUUUUAAAAAGGUUUAGUAAAAACAGUAUAAAAUCAGAGAUAUCUUCAUAAAAUGAUUCACACCAUUUCUUCAAUGAACUAGCUUCAAUUUUAAUUAAAUGUUGCUUUUCCCCAAUCUCUGUGCUAAAUGUAACUUUAUGAGAUGACGUACAUUAUCAGCCAAUAAUAUUAACUUGUAUAUAAUAUUUUACUUGUAGGAAUUUGAAAGCAGGUAGAACUUGAAGAUAAUUGAGAUUAAGUGAAUUUAAGAUUAAAUAGCUUCAUGUUAUAUACACAGUUAAUUUCAUGUAUAUUUUAUGGACAACUUAAAAGUGAAAAUUUCUGAUAAGGUAAACUAAAUUUUUCAUUACUGAUAUAAGUAAUGUGACUUUAAGUCUGUUACCUUAAUAAUUAAUUCCUAAACAAACAAAAGAAGUGUAAAAAUAAUCAUGGACUGUAUCUGUUAGGUCAAGUAAAUAAGAAUAAAAAUUUCUAGGUUUUGUCAUGGCCAUAUAGGUUUUUGAGGUAUUUUGGGGGUCUUUUGUGUAGGCAGAUUUAACUUUGCCUCUUUUCUAAGAAGUUUCUCCCUCUUUGUCAAUAGGUGUCUGGUGAUUUGUGAGCAUCAAGUGACUACUAUGUGGAAUCCUCUGUCCUUUCCUUUGAAUUAGCUUUCCCUAGGCCAUGAGUCAACACUAGUAGUUUAUACAUCCAAAUUCGUAGGUCCUUAUUGAAAUCCUUCUAUGUAUUUGUUCUAGACAUAUAAGUGAAGUAUAAGAAAUUACAGAUUUACAUUGUGGUUGUUUUUACAGCAUCUGGAUAGCUUCAGGAAAAUAUUUGGGUGGCAUUGAAACACUGGCCAAUGGAAGCAUUUGAUUUUGUUGAAUUUUGAAAUGCAGGGCCUUACUGGUAGUACACUUCCUGGUCUUAGGGGUGGGGGGACCAGUCUGUAGCUAACUUACUGCUCUGUUAUACAUCACACUAAAGCCCAGCCUGGGCAUCUGUAAACGUCGGGGAGGUUUCUACUUUAGACAACAUUUUUUACUGAGGGAUUAUACCACAGUCAGUUCCCUCCAUUUCUCCCUCUCUUCCUGGCCCCCCUCCACCCAACAUGGAGCCUUUUCAACUUCUUCAAAGAAGUGGAAAAAAAAAAAAAGUAGACUCUUUAUUAAUGGCAGAAAACAAACUGGCUGCUGUACUUCCGAGGCAGCUCUCUAAUAAUAAAGCAGAAUAGGCACUGCGACAAAGAAUUCUUGAAUGUACUAAAUAUAUAGGGAAGCCUAUUUAAAUUCACCAGAGGGGCUUAGAGAACAAGCAGCCGAAAGUUUAGAAUUCAAUUCAAGCCAUGCCAGAAAAUGAAAAUGUCCUUAAAAAAGGAUUUCUGAAACAAUUGUUCAAAGAAAUGUCAACUUUUAAGGUUCUUUCUAGAAGAAUGAAAUUUGUACUCUAAUUUAUGUGGUGACUUUUUCAAUUAGAGAGGAAAAGUGAUUAAUAGAAUCUCAAAGGAAUUGUAUCUUAUGUUUAAAGAAAACGUGUUUUCUUUCCAUGGGAUGCUCUCUAGUGAAGGCCACCUAGUGCACUGACUAAAAACAACCAAAUAUAUUCAUGGGACAGAGAUAAUUUUUUUUUUUUUUUGCAAUUAGACAUGUAACAAAUGCUCAUUUUAUCUUGAAAGAAAAAUGUUCAACUUUUAUAUGUUUUCCAGUUCAUUUCUUGCAUUCAGUUCUAUGAUUUAAAAUAUUUCAUAUGUAACUCUGAAAGAGCAAUUUUCUGAUUUAUAAUAGGACUAUGUGUUUCUAAAUUUAAGAUAUAAAAAGUAAUCCCUACCUUAUCUCUUAGUGAUUGAGUCAGGAAAUUCUCUUCCUACUAUUUACCUAUCUAUAAGACAUGUGCUUCUAUAAGGAAUACCCACAUUUAUAAGAAAAUAUAUUUUAUUGACCCCAAUGUUGACUUUCUUUAUAAAAACUGCUUAUAAAGUUUAUUCAAGGCCAGUGUGGUCUUGACUGAUAGAUGACAUUUCAUGUAGGCUUUUCUUAAUAUCUUCUUUUAAAAGUAACAUAGAUCUUGGAAAAAAAGAUAGUUUUUCUUUGGCUUCAAGUAUUGCAAGUUUUAAGGAGGAUGAAGGCGUGGGCUUGCUAGUGACCAUCUUUGUUGCCAUUGUGGAGAGAUUCUACCUGAGAAUGAAGCCCACAUGGAAUUCAUCAUCCUACAUAUAAUUUCUCAGAUCAAAAUAAGAUAUUUAUUCAUUAAUGCAUCGAUUCUUCACACCCUCCCCCAAGUUCUCUCUGCUGGCUCUGCCUCUCCCUCUCACCUGAUAUUUCUCUCUCUCUCUCUUUCUUUUUCUCUCCAGUGUUGACUCAUUCUCAGGUAAGCUUUCUUAAUGUGGUAGCAAAGAUGGCCACCCACCACUACAGACUUGCAUCAUGCAUCAUCCUACAGCCUGUGAAUCGCGAAAACAAACAAACAAAAAGAUUCCCUUUACCCCAGCAUCAGUUUCAGUUGUCAGAAAAUCUUGGAUUGGCUCUGUUAUGGUGACAUGCCCAUCUGUGGAUCCACUUAUUUGAUAAACAAGUGCUACUCUGAUUGGAUGGCUAAAUGUUGGGAAGCAAAAGAAGACUAGCCUAUCCAGGUCAUGAGGAUGAGUGAGGGUCUGUCAAUGGUAGAAAGUGAAGGGAAUUUAAAGCAGGUGGAAUGUAAUGGGACACACAACCACCACUGCAAAAUUUUUAAUCACUGAGUAUAAUGAUUUUUUUUUUUUUUGAGAUGGAGUUUCGCUCUUGUUACCCAGGCUGGAGUGCAAUGGCGCGAUCUCGGCUCACCGCAACCUCCGCCUCCUGGGUUCAGGCAAUUCUCCUGCCUCAGCCUCCCGAGUAGCUGGGAUUACAGGCACGCGCCACCAUGCCCAGCUAAUUUUUGUAUUUUUAGUAGAGAUGGGGUUUCACCAUGUUGACCAGGAUGGUCUCAAUCUCUCGACCUCCCAAAGUGCUGGAGUAUAAUUAUUGAUAGGAUUUUGAAAAUGUCUUGGUAAACUUACUGGUACCUAUUAAUCUGCAGCCAGUAUUAGUUUAUUCUGCCAAAUGUCAUCUGUACAGCAUGGAAACUAUAAAACAUCUUCUGCAACAAAUCUCAGCCUUAAGUGUCAUGAAAUUAAUUACCUUUAUUAACACUUUCCAUAAGCAUUUCAUAUAUGAUAUAUACCAUGAAAGUCAGCAUUUGGUCUCAUUUAGGAAUUUGAAAUGUUAAAAAUUAUUUAGGAUUACUAGAACUAGUUUGGUAAAGAAGAGAUGAUGAUUUAUAUAUUUAUUUAUUUAUUUAUUUUGAGGCAGAGUCUCAUUCUGUCACUGAGGCUAGAGUGCAAUGGUGUGGUCUUGGCUCACCCCAACCUCUACUUCCUGGGUUUAAGCGAUUCUCCUGCCUCAGCCUUCCAAGUUGCUGGGACUACAGGCAUGAGCCAGCACACCUGGCUAAUUUUUGUAUUUUUUUUUAGUAGAGAUGGGAUUUCACUAUGUUGGCCAGGCUGGUCUUGAACUCCUGACCUCAUGAUCCACCCGCCUCAGCCUCCCAAAGUGCUGCGAAUACAAGCGAGAGCCACCAUGCCCAGCCUGAUGCUUUUUUUCUGUAGCCUAUUGUGUCUAACCUUAGCUACCUUAUGUUCAGGCCAUCUUCUUAUAGCAAAUUUUAUAUUCUUCUCACUUUUAUCUCCAGUGUUACAAAUAAUUAUGUAUUGAUUCUUGGAAAUUUUUAUUUUUGUUUAUGAAGUAAUUUCUUCCUCUACUAUUAUACACAUAUAUGUGCAUUAUAUAUACCUGUGUGUGUGUGUGUGUGUGUGUGUGAUGUAUAGAUGAUGGCUACAAUUAUAAAAUAAGGAUGUUAGGUUCUUAUUUAUUAUCCUUUACUUUUGUGCUCUUUUAUUUAUCAUAGUAUGACCUGGGUGGUUUUCUAACAUUUUACUGUCAAGAACUACUAUUUAGGAAUCUUUCUAAAUGAUAAAAAGAUUAAUUUACUAUGAAUAAUAGUUCUAAUGUAAAACAUUUUGGGCUUUUGUUGUGAUGCAGAUGAGCAAAGCCAUAAAUAUAAUUUAGAGAGUUUGAAAAUGUAUUUUAACAUUCGCAAUUCUUCUUACUAAUUAAUCAAAUUAGAAAAUUAUGCUGUGGCUUCCAGUAUAUUAAAAUAAGUUGUCGUAUUUGGAACAUCUGUUUAUGGUCCCAUUAUGAAUAUUCCUAAAGGGCUGAAGUAUAGAUUGCCAUAAAUAAUAUUUGCAAUUUGUUCUGUGGAAAAAUGAUACCUACUUCCCUUCACAAUGCUUGUUUUUUUCCCACAAAGUAAAUCUUCCAGAUAGUAUUUUAUCAUUCCCUUAUCAAGACAGAGGAAAAAAGAGUCGGGUCUUACACAGCCUUGCUGAUUGGUUAAGAAAAGAGACGGCUGUCAUCGGCAGCCUUCCCAGACACUGUACCAUGGCUCCAGACAGUCAGCCGGUACUAUCGCUUUGUCUCAACUAUAAAUUACAGUCUCGUAAUGGUCAAGGCUGACACCUUGACAUUUUCAAGAAAAGUAAAAGACCUGAUUUGAAUGGAAAUCAAUUUCAUUUCACAAAUCUUGGCUUACUACUCCAAGCCUUUUCUUGUGUCUUCUUGAGACUUAUUUGGGAUUUCCAUGAUCAUCAGAGGAUUAUUUGAGUGUUAUAUUAUGCCUUUUUGAAGCUAUAAAACCAUAUUCAUACUUCCUUCUUCAUUCUUAACAUGAGAAAAUUUAUUUUUAAAAUAUUAUAUAAGAAAAAUGACUAAUAAGCAAGUUUUUAAAAUGGCAAUCAAUAGCAGCCAAUGCUAUUUAGUUUUGCAAAACUUUUGUAAAAUCUUCUCUGAUUUAAAAGUACAAGCUGUGUACACACAUAUCCAGAUUAACCUUUGAUUAAUAAUAUUAUCAAUUACAAGUGAUUUUACACUUCAAUCAAGCAGGUCUCAAUGAAACUUAAAAUCUUUUGAAAAGUAUUUUCACUUUUAUGUUCCUAGUCGUAAUGAGAAAGUUUUAAGCUUUAAAUUGUAAGUGUUCUACAGCCGAGGAUGACUAAGUACUUAAUUAUGUUAGGUGGGACCUUGCAUUAACUUGUGUCAGAACUUUUGACCAUUCAACCCAAGUGACAUAGAAGUAAUUCGAUACUUUACUAUGAUGAAAAGAAACUCUUUUUAGGGCUUUUAGGAGCUUUGCAGUGAAUGUUUAAAAUUUUUUAUUUACUUAUUCUGUUACAUCUUUCUCCUUUAGAAGAAUACUACAAUUUCUUUAAAAGCAUAGAGGGGAAGACAUUUCUUCUUUCCUGGUGUUUUGUCUUGAUCCCUCUCCAAGAGUUAUCUAAGCUCAGUAAAGCCUUGGGUCUUCUAGACACAAUAUUAAUGGAGAAUUUGGACAUUGCCUCUCUCUCUUUUUAAAGUGUGAAGGGAUUACCUCAAUGCCUUGUGGUGAUUUCUUUUCAUCUUCAUUAUUAGUCUUCAACUCUGUCUCAAAUCAUAAUUCUAAACAGAUAAACUUUGAUUGUUAAAUUCCUUAUUUUAUAAAGCCCUAUGAAUAAGUGAAAUUACAGACAGUUAAAAACAGGAUUCCCAACUCUUAAAUCUUUUUAUUCAUUUUUCUAUGCAUCUACCCAUUCAUUCAUAAUCUAUCUAGAACAUGGUCCUAUGCUAGGUAGGAAGGAAAUACAAAAUAAAGUUAGAAUUCCUUCUUGACAAAAUAUUAUGUUCUUAGGAGAAUUUGUUUAAAAAACAAAAAAGUUAUCAAGUCAGAAUGUGAUUGAUCUACAAAGGAGAUGGAAACACGAUAUUUUGGGAUUCUAGAAAUGGUAUUUAUUUUAGUCAUUGAAAAUCAAGAACAAUUCCUUGGUGGAGGCUGCAUUUAGCUCAUCCCUAGAUAGGAAGGAUUUCUAGAGAAAGUGAUGGAGGGGCUUGGGUUUCUGGGAGAAUAUACAUUAUACACAAAUGUGCAGGAACGAGAAAGAUGGGCUAUGUUUAGCAGUGAAUGUUGUUGCAAAGUUAGGUGCAUUUGUUGGAAAGGUAGAAAUUGAGUGACUAAUAAGAGGUAAGCUGAAAUGCGUUUGUGGAGCACCUAUAGAGUUCAGAGAGGCUCUCCUGGAGGUCAUGCAAUUUUAUAAUCCAGUAGGCACUGAGGACCUUUUAAAUAUUUGGGGGCAGAUGCAAGGAGGUAAGGUGCAAGAUUAAUCUGUUUCCAGUCAAUAUGGCAUGAUACUCCAAUCCAGAGGACCUGUCAGAACUACUGAGCAAGCUUUAUGUAGACACACCAUUUUUCCUACCCCAUAAAUUCUGACUCACUAGGUGUGGGAUACAGAAUGUGCAGGUGUAUUUUGUAAAAGCUCCUAGAUGACUAGCUAUCACACACAUUGAGAAAGAGUUGGGUAGAGAUUGCUGAAAUGAGAAGAUGUCAAGGUUUAUUAGAUAAGAAUGAAGAGUAUUGCAGUGUGUAGGAAGAACAAAAAUGAAGAUAUAAACCAGGGUUUCUUAAUGAGAAUUUCACAUGUGCCCAGAGUUUUAUGUUCCUAUGAUAUUACAUGUAAUAUUUUGAGUGUAUGUCCCUUUUUUUCUGGAUAAAAUGAUCUAAUCAUGUGUAUAAUAUUUUCAAAGGAGACUAAAGUCACCCAAUAUUAAGAACUAUGAGGAUCAUUUAGUAUGAAGUAAAUGGGAGAGAUUUCAUGAAUAUACAAUUGGAAGUAUUUAAUGACAGGGUAGAUUGCAUGUGGAUGCAAUUCGUGGUAAGAAAGAAAGGCAGAGAAUAUUUCAUAAAGUUUUUCUAGCUAUUGAUACUAAAAUAAUUAGAAUCAUCAUAUUCCCUUUGUGAAUUAGCAUUAACUUACCCUUGGACUUGUAUUUCAGUUCAUAGAACUUUGAUAUUAGGCAUGGUAUGAAUAUUUUACCACAGGAAGAUGUUGGAACAGUAGUGAAAAUUUUAGAGAUGACUACAUAGCUUUGGAAAACAUUCUCCUGGAAACAUAGUUGAACGCUUUUCAAGUAGGGAUCAGAUUGCUUCCAUCUUGUUGCUCUAGUAGAAAUGAAAGGAGAAAAAUAAAGGUACUGAUUUCCUUUUUAAGGAAACAAUUUGGAGCUUUUAUAAACAGAAUCUACUGUGUCCUUAGAACUUAAUCACAAGAUACACACAGUUUUGGGGCAGAGCAGUGCAUGAAAAUACAGACUUAAUUCCACGUAGUUAUUUACCCAGCUAAAAAUCAGAAAAAAAAAAAAAAAAAAGAGAGUAGAUAUUGGAGAAAAACUAUCAACCUGUCAUAAGGAACAUUAACGAUUUUGUAGCAUCUGAUAAUAAAUGAACCCAACCAUAAUAUAAGGAUAUUUUAUCUCAACUUUCUCCUUAAAUAAUAUAUUUUGCUUAGAAAGAUGUACAAAUUCCUUUAUAACAUAUUUCAUGAAACAUUUUAAACACCUGUCUUAUUCAGGUAAUUCAUAUCCUGAAAAGAUUAAAACCCUUCCAUGUUCAACUGGGAAGAUAGUAUUACUGGUUGCAAAUGCAGUUAAACCUACUAUUCCAAUGUUUCUAAACCUGCUAGUCUUGAACCAUUUUAAAACAAUUUAAGAUAUUUUCAUAUUGUCUAAAGAAACUAAGUUUUUAACAAAAUAAAAUCUGGGAAGGGACAAGAAAAAAAGAAACAAAAUAAAGUCUCACAGAACAAUGAUAGCAAAAGUUCAUUUUAUGCAAUUAUAAAAUGAAAAAUUCCAGACUAAAUAGAAAUAUAAAAACAAUUACUAAAUCUAAUCACCAGAGAAUAUCUCCUAUUAUCAUACAAUGUAAGCUCAUAUGUUCUGUCUCUUUUCUCAUCACAUACAUGCACUCAAUAUUUUAAUAAUCUUUUGUAACUUGUUUUUCAAUUGUUAUAUACUAAGUGAAUACUAUAUGCUUAUGUUAUUUUUUGAUACACUAAUAUAAUUUAUUUAACCAGUCAGCCCACAAGAGUACAUUGAAUUUACUUCCACCUUAUUUUUCACCAAUAUGAACAGUAUUAUGUUGAUAAAUACACUUACAUAUAAUUAUAUGUAAUGAUUCCCUAGGGAUAUUAAUUGGAACAGAUGAUAAUGGCCUGAAUGAAGAUGAUGGCAGUGGGAUUAGAAAGGCAAAGAGGAAUCAGAGAAAGAUUUAGGAGGUAGAAUUGACAGAGCCAAGUGAUUGACUGUAGAGUGGAAUGAUAUCUGGAAAACUUAAACCAAAAUAAUUACCUACUCACAUUAUGCUGUUGCUCUGUUUUUCUCUACUCAUUUGAUCUAUGACAUUUGUUUUUUUCAUGGGAAGGAAGAAGCAAUCAAGAAUAGAAUAAACAGAAGAUUUGAAGUAUCUGUUAGAUUAUUUUUUAAACGUAUAGCAAGUAUAAUGAACUCUAAACAAAUUGAUCUGGUUUGGAAGAGAUGGACUCAUAAGAAACAAAUGAUUUUACUUUUAAUUUCUAAAGUGCAUGGACAGAAAUAUUGGCCCUAAUCCUAGAGACCUGGAUCAUAGAAUUUAUCAUAGUUAACUAUCAGAUAGAGAAGACUUUAGGAUAUGAUCUGAAAGUAGUUAUCCAUCACAUAGAACACCAUGAAACUUUCUAGACUGGGGUCAGUAAAGAGACUAAUGUCCUAGAGAGAGAAGAGAAAAUCAAAUAUAGGCAAAUACUUCCUAUUUCACUCCUAGUUUUACAACUUCUAGGGGAGGCAGUGAAAAUCAGAGACAUGUAAUUCCACCUUUAUUGUACAUUAAAUUAUCAUACAUUCCAGAAUAUUCUAGUCCAUUUUAAUAUUGUAGAUACAAUAGUAAUAACUAUUGUUCUAGAUUUUCUUUUCCUUUUCAGUGAGUGAAUUAAAAACCUUGAAAACUGGAAUCUUUUUUUAUAUAGCUUAUCCAAAAGUAUGUUUUUCAAAGGUUCAUUCAGACUUUACUUUUUCUUCCUUUGUCUUUAUGCAGAUAAUCAAGUCCUUGGUCUUAGAAAAUAGACUCAUUUAUUCAUUAACUCAGUCAACAAAUACGUUAAAUACCUUCCAUAUGGCCAGUGAAUUAUUUUAAGUUGUAGAAUUAGUUUCAGCUACAAUUUAUUGUAUUUUAUUUGUUUAAUGUUAGUUGAACAUAUCACAACCUUUAUGCUGGUUGGAGCACAUGCUUCACACAGAUCUCACUGAAUAUUUUAGGAUUAUAAUUAGAAAUAAACAAAGCAGGCCUGGUAUGGUACCUCACACCUAUAAAUACUAGCAUUUUGGGAGGCUGAGGCAGACUGAUCACCUGAGGUCAGGAGUUAGAGACCAGCCUGGCCAACAUGGCGAAACCUGACUCUACUAAAAAUACAAAAAUUAGCUGGGCAUAGUGGUGCAUGCCUAUAAUGGCAGCCACUUGGAAGGCUGAGGCAGGAGAAUCGCUUGAACCCAGGAGGCAGAGAUUGCAGUGAGCCAAGAUCAUGCCACUGUACUCCAGCUGAAGUGAUAGAGCAAGAGUCAAAACAAAAACAAAAAUACAAAGCACAGACACACACAAACACACCUACCUAAAAGCCUAUAGGAAAUUGAUGAUGGUGCUAAAGAAAUUUCAGAAAGACUGUAAUGGCACAUCUUUUCAAAAUCAUUGACUAAAAUCACCAAGAGAAAAACAAGUAUGAUUUCUUUGUUAGUGCUUCUAAUAUCUUUCCUGAGAAUUCAUGUGGAACAGAGAAUCUAGUGAAAUUUGGUGCUUUGCGUCAUUACUAAGCUCAUAUCUGCAAGCUAAUCAUGUGUGAUAAGGCUAAAACGUAAAAGCUUUUGAAUCAAUAGCUCUUUCAGAUGAUAUUCUGAUAAAAUUACUUCAUUUGCUUUCCUAACUAAUUUAUGUAAGUGGAAAGAUUAAGAGAAAAGCUUAUAUUAGGAGUAACAGGAUCCAAAGGGUGGAUUGGACUUCAUUGUUCUAGUUGGCAUCUUUGUAAGCCCUUUAAUAAUGUGAUCUCCGAAACGUCUAUCUUAGACAGGGGUAUACUUUCUGGCUUCAUUUACUUGAAAAUAAGUUAGGGUCAUAAGCAGAGGUUAGGUUACUUCUACCUGGAAAUUAAUCAGAAAUUUCAUUUUGCCCUUUGGUGUUGCUCUUCUGCCCCCACACCUCAACACACCUUCUGUCGAACAAUCCUAAAGCUCCUUUUCAUGCAUCAUGGCAGUUUAAAAGAAUCUGAAAUUGUGGAUUUCCAUAUUUACAUAAUUAUAUACUGAAUAUAUAAUAUAAUAGGGUAGGGUAAAGUGUUUUUAAAAGAUGUGACAUCUUAAAGAAAAUCCAGAGAUAUCAUAAGUGACUCUAAUUUAUUGGCAAAUUUCAGACUACGUUCUUAGUCAUAUUUCUGCUAGAAGAAACCUACUUUCCAUUUUGUGUUUUCUCAUUUGCAUUACUGCAAAGUUAUUCAUGCAUAUGAAAAGGAUAUUAUUCAUCUCCAUAUUCCUUUCUCUCCUUAUUCCAAACCCAAUGGGUUUAUGAGUUAUACAUAAAGAAACACACUGCUAUCUCUGUAUGUUUAUACAUAGAUAUCUAUCUGAUUCAAAUUUGGUAUUACAGCUGGAUAGCAACCCCAAGUGAUAACAUUAUGUGCCACAUGUGUCUUAUUACAUCAUUCAUGACAUACCAAAAUUGUCAAAUAUGUUGAAAUCCAAUAAUUAUAACUGACAAGCUUUAGCAUGAUUGGGAAUGAAAAAAAAAUAGAGGAAUGUAUUUCUGAAUUAUUCCUCAUUGGGAAUGAAAAAAAAUAGAGGAAUGUAUUUCUGAAUUAUUCCUCAUUGGGAAUGAAAAAAAAAAUAGAGGAAUGUAUUUCUGAAUUAUUCCUCAAAGUACAUAUAGCUGUAUGAUAAGCUCUUGUUUCUUAUCUGCUAAUAUUUUUAGUGAGAUGCUGUUUUCAGAGUAUUUGUGGUAGCUGGUUUCUGAAAUUUUUAUGUGCAUAAAACCAUAUCAUCAUCUAAAUUGAAAUUCCAGUGCUAUUCCAAAAAGAACUACAAAGGUGAACUGAAGGAAAAUGACCAACCUGACAGGGCUUUUCCUUUUCUCUAAUGUUUGAUUCUUCUUAUCCUAAUAUCCCAGAAAAUUAUUUCACUUGAAAGUUUAGGCAUAAUUCACAGAAAAACAUUUUGUCUUUUCCAUUCUCCAGUUCUACUUACUAUUGCUUCAGUUCCUGAAAGGUUUUCCUCAAAAUAUCUUGGCAUUUGCCAGGCAGAAGAAAAUAGGGUUGACAGUGAAUUUCAUGGGCACAACCCUCAUUCAUGACAAUGAUAAAGUAUUCAAAAUUCUCACCCUUUGUGUCCUGCUUUAUCUGUAUUUAGGGAUGGCAUGAAGGAAGAGAAAGAGAAAGCUUAUAUUUUUCUCUUUAACAUUAACUUUCAUUUAGCUGUUAAAGAGCGGAAUAGUUUUUAAGCCCAGAAUACAUUGUAAUUGCAUUUUCUUUUUCAAUAAUUGUAGCAGAUGUUAAAGUGAAGAGACAAUGGCAGUGACAUACAGAAUAACCUGGUUUCCUAGAUGGACCCACUUGUCGGAGAUCAAACAGCUACAGCACAUUUAGGGUUACACGCUCUUUCCCUUCCUCCUUAUUCUCAACUGUAGUGGAGCUUUUUCCAAAGUUGCCAUGGUAACAGUAUAUCUGGCUGCUAGCUCUGUCGUAAGUUAUUGAACUGAGACUGGCUUUUGGUUUAGCAGAUAAUUAGGUUCUGUCUCACAGGUUCAUUUUCCUGUGACUGGGACGUGAAUAUGACCUACAGCUGGCCUCAAUUUCAGUGUCACAGACAAAACUUUAACCCUUCCAAGCUCCUCUGGCACACUCCUAAGCAUUGCUUAUGUGUUAAAGGAAGUCCAGUAUCGCUCACCCAUACCUUGGGGAGGAUUACCAAGUCCUCAUUUUAUUUUUUAUCUUCAGCAUAACACUAAAGAAAAUCUGGUUAAGUUGUGUACGUAGAGCAUUUUCAAAAUUAAAAAUAUAUCAAGAACAUGAUAUAUAUUUAUAUAUUUUAUAUAUACUACAUGAAACUUUUCAUAGUCAUAUUAUUUCCUUGACUCUCUAAUAAUUUUCAAGCCACACUGAAAUUUCUUUUGUUAUAAUUAGGAAUGCACAGAAUUUAAAUUCAAAACCUCUAUGCUCAGGAAUAUUAGGUGGUUACUUCUAUUCUCAGCUUUGAGAACUGUCUGCCAGUUCAUUCACACCCUUGUUUCCACUUUCAUAUUCCCUGAACUAUAGCUGACAUUGAAAGGUUCCGCUGGAGUCUCAGGCAAACCCAUGUGACAAGGAACACAACUACCAGUCUCCUAAAUGCCAAAAUGUUCACUCAGGGCUUAAAUCUUUCUGGUUUGGAAAACCAGCUACUUUUGCAUGUUGUAUUUGGAAGAUUUCAAUCAGUUAAAUAACUGCUCUUUGUUUAAGACAAAGAAAGAAACAUUACUUUGGGAACAGAUAUUGAAUUCACAAUAUCCAUGGCAACACAGGGAGCUCUGGAGUUAGUAAGAGAAGGUAUACCUUUCUAUGUCAAACAAUGGGAAAGACCUUCAAGGAAAUCUGUUUAAAAUUUUAAGUGUAUAUAGCCUAGAAGCUUAACAUGAAAGGAUAAGAAAGAAAUAGGGAGAGUUGAGUUUACCAGAAUUAAAACAUGAAUUAAAGGAAUUCCAUAGUGUAAUUGGCUGAAGAAUCACCUAACGUUAAUAGUGAUAGGUAAAAUUUAUGAAAGGGAAGAUUAGAAAAUUCAGCAACUGCAUAUUGGACUUCAGAUGUGUGUGCACGCACGUAUGUGCGUAUGUCACUCAUAGAUUGUUUUCUAUUUUAAUCUGUGCCUUUCAUACUCAAACUCUAGACGACAAGAGCACCUCAAAGAUAGCAGCCUCAAGGAGCAGCCAUGGCCCCAGAGUUGUCCCACGAAUGCAGAGAACUUAGUGGAGGAGGCUGAGGUCAGAAUGGGAAAAGUUUUUAAAAAGUAAAAAGAAGAGCUGAUAUGUAAGGACUGAUUGCUGUGCAUUAUUUUCCACUGAACUGACCUUCUUUUAGCUUCUAAUCUCAAGCACAUAGCACCUGUUGUUUUCAUAUUGAAGAACAGUGUUUGUUGAAUGAAUAUAUAAAUUCUUCCAAAAUCUCUGUUUCGUGUGGUAAGAACUCAGUUAGCAUUCAAUUAUAAAGAGGACUUAGAAAGUCUGCAAGCAUUUUUGAUUAAAAAAAAAAAAAAGAAAUCCUUUUAACUGUCUUCUCAUGGUUCCUGGUAACAUCUAAGCCCAAAAAAUUCAGGUCAUUUCUUGCCUGCACUGUUGCAAUCGCCUCAUCAUAAUUGUUCUUCUCCUUUAUCAACCACAGUCAUCUCCACUACAUGAAGAAGAGAGGGUGCUAAAGUGUAAAUUAUCUCAAAUCAACAGCCUCCUCAUAAUUUGCCAGUGGUUUUCAUGUCAUUAGAAUAACAAGAACAAUUUCUUGCUUGUGAAAUCAUAUAUGACCUUGCCCCUGUCUACCUUAGUGGCAUCAGCUCUCAUGACUCAUCCUCUUUUUCACUCUGCACCUUGCCUUUUCCUAACCAUGCCUGCUAGUCAACUUUAGCCUUUGUGUUCUCUUUGCCAGGAAUUGCAUUCUCACCAGGAAUUGCGUGAUUCACUUCUUCACUUUAUUCUGAUCUCUCUGCUCAAAUGUGAUAUUUUUAGAGACACCUUUCCUAACCAUCUUAAAAAGCACCGCAUUCACUGUCGGACACCUUUCCUGCUUUUUCUUCAUAAAACGUAUCACUUCCUGAUAUUGUAUUAGACAACAAGCAAAUAAGUAUAUGCCUAUAUGCUGUUCCCACUAAAAUAUAAGCUCUUUUUGAACAGGAGCCUGAAUUAUUUAUGAGUAUAUCCCUAGUGCCCAAAAUCUAGUAGACUGGUCCCUAUUAGGGCUUUAAUAAAUAUUGGGUUCAUUUGUUGAAUGAAUGAAUAAUUGAAAAAGAAUAUCCAGGUAGAAUAUCUGGGCAGCCCAACCUAUUUGAAGCCCGUACGGUGUUUCUCUAACAUAAUGAAUGCAAUUAUUCUUCUACCUGAUGCAAUUACAUGAGUACAUAAGGAUAAAAUUAAGCACAUAGUUUAGAUUUCUUCAAGUCUCUUCCUUAGAUUAAGGAAAAACAAAGAAAUGGAGCUUAUUCCUACCUCAUUCUUACAUGAACUAAAUCCAGAAUAAAGCAUCAUCCAUGUACCAAACACAUCCCUACCCCAGCCACUCAUGGAAUACUUUAUCUGAAAAGGAACAGAUAGUAAAUAUUUUUGGCUUUGGGGACCAUACAGUCUGUGUCACUACCACUCAGCACUUCUGUUGAGGUGUGAAAUCAGCCUUAGACAACACAUAAACAAAUGGGCGUGGCUGCGUUCCAAUAAAAUGUUACUUAUAAAACCAGAAAAUCGGCAGAUUUAGCACACAGGCUCUAGUUUGCUGACCCUUGAAUGAGAGAGUCUUCCCCAAAAUCCUCUUCUCAAGUUAUUGAGAGAAUGCCCAUAGGACCACGGCUCCCUCACUUGGUUCUUUCAUGAAAUGAGACAAAUUCAGGGAUAGCUGGAGGGCAGAACACCUACCUGUGACACGACUAUUGAGCCUGAUGCCUUGCCUUUUAUGUCUUUAAACUGAAUCAAACCUUAACUAUAAACUGUCUUUACAGUAGCAAUAACUGGGCCAUGUCAAAUGCUCCCAAUGACAAAAUUUCUCCUUGGAGAAUGAAUGAAGGUUGCAUAUAGUGGUAUGUUGGUAUAUGUUUAGCAACUGGCUCUCUUACUGAUUUCUAUGGUGUAAAUUCUCCCCUCCUAGCCAUCUGAAACUACCAAUAUGAUGUCAUUUAAUGUAGAGUUGGGAAAAGACAGUCUCUUGAAUCAGUAUGAGCUGGUUUCAGCCCACUGCUGAAUACAUAUUUAAAAGCUACAAUAGCCCUGCCAUUGCAGAGUCUGCAGGAAAGAGUAGUGGACUUGAUAGGAGCAACUGGCAGGAUAGUCUUUUGGAUUGCCAAUAAAUAACGAAAAAGUAUAUAAAUAUAAUGCUCUAUAGAAAGCUGUCAAGUUUAGUGCUUGGUUAAAAUACAUACUCAGUAAAUGGUAGCUAUUAUUGUCUUAGUUUAGUUAUUGCAAGCAUCAAAAUUAAAUGUUUAGCUACAGACUCAA